rnacentral:lncRNA from 1 species
GGCAGUCAUCCUCUGUUCAAUUAUCAAAAACUCCUUUUACCAUCCAUUUGAACAUACACAAACACGCCCAAUUUGAAAAAAAAAAAAGUAGUCAUUUUAAAAUAUUUCAAUCGUCCACUGUUCAGUCACCAAAAACUCCUUUUACCAUCCAUUUCAACGCCUAAUUUGAAAAAAGAAAAUACUAAUAAUAAUAAAAUAUUCUAGUCGUCCAUCCUUUUACAAAUCAAAAAUAUCACCAAAAACCAAUUUCCAAUCUAUUUCAAAACAAAUUUUGCCAAAGUCCUCCUCGGCUAAUUAAUUCAUACAUUAAUACAGUCCUCCUCUGCUGAAUAAUGCAAACCCGUUACGUUAUUCUACCAUUUCUUAAAUUUAAAGCAUUCCACCAUUUAAUAAAAAAAAUUCGAAAACCCAUUAUAUACAAUACAAAAAGCCCACCGACACCAAACCAUAUUAAUUUAAAAUAGUUUUCAAUUGAGAUUUGAAUUUUAAAAUUACAUACACAAACACACCCGAUUUAAAAUAAUAAUAAUAAUAAUGCUAACAAUAAAAUAUUUCAGCCGUCCUCUGUUCGGUCACUAUUCACUAAAAACCAAUUUACCAGCUAUUACAACAAGAGGUAUAUGGGUUAACAAGUCCCAAUAUUGUCCUCCAUCCUUUCUGCACUUCUCUUCCAUCAACGGACAUCUCCAGAAAGUAUUUGAGCUUGGGACAUCCCCUGAGAAACAAUGAAGUGAGGUUUUGAAGAUCAACAAUUGAAGAAGAUAGGCGUUCCAGAUUUGGAAAAUUGAAAAUCUUCAGAGACGUUAGAGAGGCAGGAAGAGGAAGCGCGGUCCCUAAUCUUUUGUCCUCUAGUGGAAAUGACACCAUGUCCUCAUCACAUCCACUGAUUAAAAGAUAUCGCAGAGAGGAGAAUCUGUGAAAUCCCCGUCCCCGCUCAAUCAUUGACUUCCAAAUCUCCAUAUUACCCCAAAUAUUAAGUGACUGAAGGUUGGUGGGAAGGCCAUCUUCUUCUUCAAGGCUUGGAAGCGCACCUCCUUUUCCUAUUGUUAAGUCUUGAAGAGAGCUCAGUUUGUGCAAUCCCUUGGGUAAGGCCUCUAGUCUCUUACAAUUAGAUAUCGCCAGCCUCCUGAGUUUCGCACAAGGCAAUCCCCCUUCGGGAAAGGACACCAGAUUUCCACAACUCUGUAUAUCAAUCUCUCGAAGCUGGUGGAGUUUAUGUAAACCACUCGGUAAAAUUUUCAGAUUUUCACAAUUAUAAAUACUGAUUGUUUCAAGAGAUGUGUUGUUGUCCAACCUUUCUGCUAUUGACUCCAGCUUUGAACAUCCAUAAACAAAAAGGGACUUAAGAGACGGAGGUAGAUUGCCAACUUCAAGGGACUCAAGCGUGGCAGGUGUUGAUGCGAGAUUCCGGUUCUCCUCGUUCCACGACCAGGAUCUCUGCUCGAUCAACUUCUCCACGACCAGGAGGUCUCCUAGUAAUACUUCUUCUCCAGAUGUCCCUGCACAAACAGACAAGUCAGAGUACGCCGGUUGUUCCCCCGGCGCAAACCCUCCGACGCUCAAGUCAGAUAUGAAGGUUCAGGGAACGCUUGCCACAGGUCUUAUGGCUUUUUCGUGGUUUUUCUCUAAUCUCAAAAAUGCCAACCCUUUUACCUUCGUUGGCUACCUUUUUAUAGGCUUCCUCUGAAUCUCAGUCUUCCGCUCUUUUCGAGACGGUAUGGGACUCCAACUGCUGCGUUAUGGGCAAACGUGGGAUCUAGCGUGUUACGCCACGGUUCAGGGGAAAGCGUGGCUGUCAUGGCUCUGUGAGACCUUGCGUGUUACGCCACGGUUCAGGGGAAAGCGUGGCUGUCAUGGUUCUGUGAGAUCUUGCGUGUUACGUCACGGUUCCGGGGAAAGCGUGGCUGUUGUGCCUAGAUUCUCGUGCUGGAGAGCACGUCUUGCCAACUGCCGUCGACCGGGUCUCCUCGCCUCUCGACCUCUAGCCGGGAUGGCCUUAUGCCUCUUAUAGGAAAUUGGCCUCGCGGAUGACAACAUCGUGGACGAGCAGGAUAUUUCUGCUCCUGUUCUUCCACGCACCAGGCUUUAACGGAACACACCGGUUCGCAGAACUCCGCCAUCAGAUAUCUGCUCGUCAUUCCUGGUCCCGUCGACGCAUUUAUCCCAAACAGUAUCUCUCCCAAACACCGGUCCCCCAGUUUCUGGUGUUGGGUAAUGUAGUGGACCAGCAGUAGAAACUCGAUAGUACUCGCUCGCGUGGGAUUGGAAAAGGCUGCCAAGAGUCAUGUCGCAUUUAAUUGCGGACGAGGUGACGUGGCAGAAAUCCCGCCCUCCAUUUGAAUUUCAAACCGACGGUUACCAGAUCCUCGGGAUUCGGCGCGGUUAUAUGCUGGCAACCCAAGAGUCUGUCCUCAUUUGGAAAGCCGAAUCCUCUCGAACGGCAUAUUCACAAUUCACUCCGUCUCUGUCUCUGUUUCUCCGGCGAAGAAGUUCCGGCACAAAGCCCCCAUCCUUGCCUUUCUCCGAUUGGAGCAGUACUUCAGGUAUUACUUCUCUCUCCUCGGUCUCGGAUAGUUUGUAGAUAACUUCUUUUUUCUUUCGUUUGGGUGGUAGUUGGUGGCGUUGUAGUUAGAGUUUAGGGAAUGCCGAAAGGCAAAGAGAAGGUCAUUGAGGUUGAUGACGACGAGUUGGACUUCCUACCUAGUCUGCUCGCUGAUCCCGCUUUUGACCCCGGGAUCCCCUUAGAGCCCAUUAGGUCUAGUGUUGGUACUAGCGCUAGGAGGAUGUCUCCCCAAACAACCUCCUCGAGCGACAGUAGCGAUGAAGAAGGAUCUUCUGGAUCGGAGAACACCUUGAGUGAGGGUCAAGGGGAUGAUUCUGGUGAGGCGUCCCCCUCAGGAGCGCCGCGACCAGAAAGGAGGAGUAGAAUAGGAGGUAGAGCCCUAUCGCGGGAUUACGCUAUUGAUUACAUGACGUGCACGACCACGUUUGAUGAGCUCGAGGACCUCCGGCUGAGGUAUAGCAUUCCUGGUGAAAUACAUCUCAAGGUCCCAGGAAAGAAGGAUGCUCCCAGCCGCCCUCCGAGGGGACAUGUUACCCUGUAUCUGGACAGCUUUAAGUACGGGCUGAGGUGUCCCUUGCAGCCUUACUUUGCCCGGAUACUCAACGGGCUAAAUCUGGCUCCUGGUCAGUUGAAUCCCAAUGGGUGGAGAGUGCUCUCUGGUCUGUUCAUUUUGUGGGACAGAUGUUGCCAAAGCGAGCCCACGGUUGAUGAGGUGAAGCACCUGUACCAGCUAAAGAGCAGCCCCAAAGAUGCCGGCUGGUACUACUUCCAAUCUAGCACCAAGAGCAGGAAACCUAUAACCGACCUCCCUACUGGUGGUGGCGGGAAUUGGAAGAGAAAGUUCUUUUUUGCUGGGGGUCCGUGGGGUCAGGUCGCGCAAACGGACGGGAAGGAUUAUCGGGUCCCACCCCGUUUCACGGUCCCAGGUUGCCUGCUCGCUUCAGAUGCCUUGUAUCCAUACUUGUUCUUGUUUUGUCGGCUUGUUUCUAACCAAGUGUCUUGUUUGUGUUGUAGUUUCUUGGGGUGUCCACUUCCCGCUCGGACCUGAACAGCUCAAACGGGUCGAAGCGGUGCUGGCCAAUUCUUGCUCGACCCGAGAACUGCUAAGUACAUACAACUUGCUCGAGUCUCGCUUGAUACUCCCUGGCCAUAAGAUGGAGGACGCUGUGAUUGGGGCUCUGACCCGAAAACGUUCUCGACCUUCAACCACGAAGAGGGAUGAGAGUAAGGAUGCCCCUACUGCAAAGCGGGCCAACAUCGUGCAGCAGGCUCCACCCUUGAAGAUUUUACCUCCUGCUCCUGAAAAAGUUGGGGAAGCUAGUGGAGCAGCCACAGAUCCCGCCACCUCUUCUCCUCCUGUCGGGCCUCGACCUCGCUUACCUGACAGCCGAGCAGAACCUCUGGUCCCUUACCUCAAUGAGUUAGCUAAACUCGUGAGCAAGGAGGAGCUGGAGGACUUUGAUGGCCGCACCUUGGGCGAGCUGGUGGGGGCCAUUCAGCAUAGCGCCUUCCACCUCAGCUGCAUGGCCACCUAUUAUAAGGCUAAAGUGGGCCGUUACGACCGGAAGAUGAAGGGGGACAUCCAGUCGGCGACGACCAGGGCCGACGUUGCCGAGAAGAAAGCAGGGGAGCUGAAUCUCGAGAACCUGAAGCUGGUAGAGCAAGAAUCGCUUGCUCAAGCAAAAGCCAUUACCCUUGAGGGGGAGCUCACCAAGGUCAAGGAGGAUCUGCAAAGGCAGAAGGCUAUGUAUGAGGCUCAGCUCGAAUCUCUCCGCGACUCCCACCGAGCUCAGGUCGAGAACCAUCGAGCUCAAGUCGAGAACUUGGAGAGGGAGGCCGACAACCAGUACGACCAGGGACUUCGGCAUUCCUAUCGUUGCAUCAUGGCCGUCCUUGCGAAGCAACACCCUGACCUGAAGAUGGAAGACCUUGCAGCUGGUGUUGCCCAGCAUAUGGAUGAGGAGGCGGCCAAGGAAGAUACCGAAGGGGUAGAGCCGAUCGUGAUCGAGGAGGAAAACUCUCCUCCUCGUGUAGUCCCUGCUGAUGUCGGCGAGGCGGGCACCCCCCGGACGCAACUGGUGAUACCCCCCCUGCACCCGAGGAGGUCCAGCCGACCGAUGCUACUCGGCUCACUGAUCCACCAUCUUUGUGAUAUAUUUCUUUUUGUAUUGUAAUGAACAACGUUUAUGAAAUUUCCUUUGUUAGCCAUUAACACAUUAAUAAAAAUGUUGUUGAUUACUUUCUCGUGUAUAUGAAUUAUUUUUCGUUCAAGAGUCUGCUUGUCUUUGUCUUACACGAGCAGGUUCCGACGAGCCUUUGCACGCCUUAGGAUUUUCUUCAAACGAUUUGGAUUCUGCUGCCUUCUCGUGGCCGAGCAGAUCCUGGCAUGCUUGGCUUCUGUCUCGCCAUAAGACAGGCUCUGAGACUUGGCGAGCCUUUGCAUGCCUUAGGUUUUUCUUCAAACGAUUUGGAUUCUGCUGCCUUCUCGUGGCCGAGCAUAUCCUGGCAUGCUUGGCUUCUGUCUCGCCAUAAGACAGGCUUUGAGACUUGGCGAGCCUUUGCAUGCCUUAGGUUUUUCUUCAAACGAUUUGGAUUCUGCUGCCUUCUCGUGGCCGAGCAGAUCCUGGCAUGCUUGGCUUCUGUCUCGCCAUAAGACAGGCUCUGAGACUUGGCGAGCCUUUGCAUGCCUUAGGAUUUUCUUCAAACGAUUUGGAUUCUGCUGCCUUCUCGUGGCCGAGCAGAUCCUGGCAUGCUUGGCUUCUGUCUCGCCAUAAGACAGGCUCUGAGACUUGGCGAGCCUUUGCAUGCCUUAGGAUUUUCUUCAAACGAUUUGGAUUCUGCUGCCUUCUCGUGGCCGAGCAGAUCCUGGCAUGCUUGGCUUCUGUCUCGCCAUAAGACAGGCUCUGAGACUUGGCGAGCCUUUGCAUGCCUUAGGAUUUUCUUCAAACGAUUUGGAUUCUGCUGCCUUCUCGUGGCCGAGCAGAUCCUGGCAUGCUUGGCUUCUGUCUCGCCAUAAGACAGGCUCUGAGACUUGGCGAGCCUUUGCAUGCCUUAGGAUUUUUUCGGUUUCAAGCGAAUGGAAUUCGUCGACGCUCCAUUAAUGGCAGGAUUUGACUUACAUGAAAUUGUUCGGACAUAAAACGUGAAAAAUAAACGAUAAUGAACAUGAGCAACAACGGUUUUUAAAUGUGAACAAGUCUUACUGGAAGUAUUUCCGGAGGUGUGCUGCGUUCCAUGGGCGUUUCACUUCGUGGCCGUCCUCGCGAACCAGCUUGUAAGCUCCGGGUCCCGCUAUCUGCUUGACUCUAUACGGCCCUUCCCAAUUCGGUCCCAGUACUCCUUGAGUCGAAUCUUUGGUGCUCUGAUUCACUCUUCUCAGUACCCAGUCUCCGACUCUGAAUUGCCGUAUGUUCACCUUCUGGUUAUAAUACCGAGCAACCCUCUGCUGGUAAGUGGCUGAUCGCUCGGCUGCUUGUUCCCUCCUCUCCGUUAGCAGAUCAAGAUUCAAACAUAUCUGCUCGUCGUUCUCGUGCUCAUUGAAGUGCUCUGUCCGGUGUGUGGUCGUUCCUAUCUCAGCCGGCACAACCGCUUCAUGUCCGAAAGCCAAAGCGAACGGUGUCUCCCCAGUUGCGGUCUUGUGGGUUGUUCUGUAUGCCCAUAGCACACCCGACAGCUCGUCAACCCACGCACCCUUUUUUGCUCCGAGCCUGGUUUUCAGAAGCCUCUUGACGGUCUUGUUGGCUGCUUCUACUUGUCCAUUCGAUUGAGGGUGAGCAGGCGAGCAGUACUUCAGUUCUAUCCCGAGGUUCUGGCAAAAAUCCCUGAAGCUGUGAUUAUCGAACUGCCUGCCAUUAUCCGUUACCAAGGCAUAUGGGAUCCCGUAUCGACAGACCAGGUUUCUCCACACGAAGUCUGUUGUUUUCUUCUCUGUGAUCCUGCUAAGGGCUUCUACCUCUAUCCACUUCGUGAAGUAAUCUAUAGCAACUAUUGCAUGUGUUGCUGCUCCUCGUCCCUUCGGCAAUGGGCCGAUCAGAUCAAUUCCCCAUUGAGCGAAUGGCCAAGGGGAGGCCAUGGAGGUGAGCUUCUCUGGUGGUUGGUUAGAGAAAUUUGCAAAACUCUGGCAGCUUGCACAGCUCCUGGUCUUCCUUUGUGCAUCCUGGUGCAUCGUCGGCCAGAAAUAUCCCUGCCUUAGAACCUUGUGGGCCAGGGACCUCCCGCCAGAAUGAUUUCCGCAAAUUCCUUCAUGUACUUCCCUCAGCACGUAAUCUGCGUCGUCAUCGUCCAAACACCGAAGGAACGGUAAUGUAUAUCCUCGCCGAUACAGUACCCCAUCGAUCAUCGUGUACCUCGAGGCCUGAGCCCUAGUCUUCCGAGCUCGCAGCUUGUCUGGUGGUAAGACCCCGUCUCUAAGGUAUGAAACUAUCGGGUCCCUCCACGAGCCUUUUUGUUCUAUCCGUAGCACGCCCACAUUUUGCUCGAUACUUGGGCGAGACUUCACCUCUAGGGGGACCGACUUCGGCAUUUUUGGGUCGGCUACGGCUGCCAUCCUAGCCAAAAUGUCUGCUCGACUAUUCUGCUCCCUGGGGAUUUGUAUCACCUCCACUGCUUUGAACUUCCCCAUCAUCUGCCUGACUAUCUUUAGGUACUGUUCCAUCUUCUCCUCUCUUGGUUGGAAUCUUUCACUAACAUGAUUCGCAACCAACUGGGAAUCGGUUCUGAUCUUAACUCUGUCUGCUUUCACGGCCCUAGCCAAUUCCAGACCCGCUAUCAAGGCCUCAUAUUCUGCCUGGUUAUUGGUGGCUGCAAAUCCCAACUUUAUAGCAUAAGAGAUCUCCUCCCCCUGUGGGCCUUCCAGGACAAUCCCUGCUCCUGAACCCCGCUCUCCUGAUGACCCAUCCACAGAUAUCUGCCAUACUUGAGUUUCGUCGCUGCCUAUAUCUGCAUCUUGUUGCUCUAAGCAUACUUCGGGCUCUGCGAACUCAGCUACGAAAUCGGCCAUUGCCUGGGCCUUUAUCGCCGCGCGGGGUUUAUAGUCUAUGUCGAAUUCGCUCAUCUCUACGGCCCACUUGACGAGCCGACCAGAGGCAUCUGGCUUGUGCAGAAUUUGACGCAAUGGCUGGUUGGUUAUUACCGAGACCGGGAAUGCUUGAAAGUAUGGCCUCAACUUCCGAGCAGCUACCACAAGGGCAAGUGCCCAUUUCUCCAACGGUGGGUAUCUGGUCUCAGCGUCGAGCAGGGCCUUACUGGUGUAGUAUAUCGGAUACUGAACUCCUUCUUCCUCUCUCACCAGAACGGAACUGGCGGCCCGAUCCGAUACCGCCAAAUACAGAUUCAACUUGUCCCCAUCCCUCGGUGUGGACAGUAGCGGAGCUUGCUGCAAGUAUUGCUUCAAGUUCCGGAAGGCUUCCUCGCAUUCCGGGGUCCAUUCCGUUUUCUUUCCCCUCCUUAUCACUCGAAAGAAUGGCUGACACUUAUCUGUAGCCUUGGAUAUGAAUCUGCUCAACGCCGCCAACCUCCCCGUGAGGCUCUGCAUCUCCUUCAGGUUUCGAGGAGACGUCAUUUGCACAAUCGCCUGGAUCUUCUCGGGAUUUGCUUCAAUCCCCCUAUGGCUCACCAUGAAUCCCAGGAAUUUCCCUGACUCGACCCCAAAAGCACACUUCUCCGGGUUGAGCUUCAUCUUAUACUUCCUCAAAAGUUCGAACGUCUCCUCGAGAUGUCUGACAUGUUCCUUCGGGAUUUUGGACUUGGUGAUCAUGUCGUCCACGUACACCUCCAUGGUUUUCCCGAUCAAGGGCUUAAAGACUUUAUUCACCAGCCUUUGAUAGGUGGCCCCAGCAUUCUUGAGACCGAAUGGCAUCACCCUGUAACAGAACAAACCUUGGUUAGUGAUGAAAGCUGUGCUCUCCUCAUCCGGCUCGUACAUGGGGAUCUGGUUGUAUCCCGAGAAUGCGUCCAUGAAGCUGAGCAGACCAUGUCCAGCCGUUGAAUCUACUAGCUGAUCGAUCUUUGGUAAAGGGAAACUGUCUUUUGGGCACGCCUUAUUGAGGUCUGUGAAAUCCACACACAUCCUCCACUUGCCGUUUGCCUUCUUUACCAACACCACAUUUGAUAUCCACUCUGGGUAAUUGACUUCCCGAAUGAACCCUGCUCUCAGAAGCUUCUCCACCUCAUCAUUUACAGCCUCAUACCUCUCCUGGUUGAAGCACCUCCUCUUCUGCCUUACUGCCCGAGCACCUUUCUUUAUUGCCAGCUUAUGACAUGCUACCUCUGGAUCAAUCCCUGGCAUGUCUUCAUGUGUCCAGGCGAACACGUCAGCGUGAGCCUGUAAGCAUUUCACCAACUCCUGCUUUUGCUCUCCCUUAAGUCUCGACCCGAUUCUGAUCGUCUUUCCCGAGUUCUCUGGUCCCAUGCUUACUGUCUCCAGAUCCUCUACGGGUUCUUGUCUGCCAGUCUUGUUUUCCACUCGGGUAUCGAGGGAUGUUAUCUGCAUCGCCUCCCUUGCUGCCGAGGAGUAGCAGCUUCUCGCGAUCCUCUGGUCUCCUCGUACCACUCCGACUACCCCAUUCACCCGGUACUUCAGAGCCAGAUAAUGGUUGGACAACACCGCUUUGCUCAUCCUUAAAAAUGGCCGACCUAGGAUCAUCUGGUAAGGACCUUCCUCAUCCACUACGACGAAGUCCAGUAUCAUUGUUCUUUCUGUCGGGGGGCUCCCAAUUGUGAUAGGUAGUUCGACCACGCCCAGGGGGACCAGCUUCCCUCCUCCGAACCCCUUCAAGGAGGUGUUGGUGUAUUCCAACUUCCGGUCGGCUAUUCCCAUCUCUUCCAGAGUUGACUUAAAUAACACAUCGACCGAGCUCCCCGUAUCAACCAGUAUCCGGUCAAGCUUCUUGCUAGCGACCGUAGCCUUGAUGACUAAAGCAUCCUCGUGGGGGUAUAGAAUCCCUUCCUCAUCCUCAUCCGUCCACAUGAUUGGCACUUGCCUGACCCUUGCUCGUUUGGCUGCCGGGGUGUUGAAGAGUAUCUCUUUGCUGGUCAUGGCAUAUCUGGCGUAAUUUUUUCUCGAUCUGUUCGAAUCUCCGGCCAACGUUGGGCCCCCAGCUAUCACCCUUACUGCGGGCUGCUCGCGUCUCAAGAUUCCAUCACUCUGCUCCCCUUCAUCUGUUGUGGCCAUCAUCGGAAAAGUCCCAUCCAUAAACUCGUCCAGGUACCGAUUUCUCACCAAAUCUUCAACCUGGGUCUUGAGAUCUCUACACUCUGCUGUGGUAUGGCCAUGGGUGCCAUGGAACUUACAAUAACGUCCUCUAUCCCUCCUGUUGGGUAGCUUUGUUAUUGGUGUAGGGAGGUGCAGCAGCCCUCGAUCCUUUAUGGCCUCGUACACCUCAUCCAGGGGCAUCUUCAAGGGAGUGUACCGCCCAUAGUCCUGGUUCUGGUCGACCAGAUGUACUGCUCUUUCUCUGUUCGCCCCACUGUGAGUUGGGGGCGGUGGAAGUGCUUCUGGUCUGCUCGUCCUGCUACCGUGGGAAUGUUGAUGAAGACCACCGGGUGCCGAAUCAUGCCUUCUCCAAGGCUCCCUAGCUGGGGAACGAGGAGGUGGCACCCUGCUGCGCUGAUACUGUGGCGGCCUCUGAUGAGGCUGGUAAGCAAUCACCCUACCUCCUGCUCCACUACCGGAGACCUGGUGGUCCCUCCUCCUGAUCGGCCCAUUCCCUGGUGAUGCUUUCUUCUCUUUCCUCCCUAACCCUUCCAACUGGUCUGUCUUGAUUCGUGCAGCCUUCUCCUCCUCAAUCUCGAUGUCUCUUUUAGCCUGUUCGUAUGCGGCCGCAUACGUUUGAAUAGCUGGGCUUCUCAAAUUGUACCACAGCCUUCCUAUCUUCACCCCUUCUUUCAAUCCCCUUAACGCCUGAGGGUGGUUGAAGGCUCCCAAGUCGAGGACAGCCCGAUGAAACCUCUUGAUGAAUUCCCGAAGGGUUUCUUGCUCCCCCUGUUUCAUGCUCUUCAGCUCCAUCAUGUCAUCUUCCGGAGACAUUGCCCCACUAAACUGCUCUGCGAAUUCCUGGCACAUCUGCUCGAAGGUUUUAAUGCUGCCCCGAGGAAGUUUCCUGUACCAUUCUCGUGCACGUCCCUCAAGGGAUAGUGGGAAUACCCUGCACCUUUGGGAUGGAGAUAAUCCCUGUACCCCCGUUAUGUCGUUGAAGCGCUCUAUGUGCAUCAGCGGAUCAGUUCUUCCCGAGUAUCUGAGGUCGGGGAGGCGGAAAUCUCUCGGAAUAACUGCCCUCAUGAUCUCUGCUGCGAGCGGUGAUUCUCCGUCCAGCAUUAUCCUCCAACCAGGGGCUCUGUUCCUCCCUUGCAUGUCGUCAAUUAUUUGCGCUAGCCUUCGCACUUCCUCCUCCAGCUGCCCUGCACGACCAGGGUCACGUGCCGCAACUUGAUCCCGCUCUUGCUCUACAUCAUGCAAGUGUUGCCUCAGCUCUGUUUCCUCUGCAUUCACCACCCCGUCGCCCUCGUCGCAAGUCUGUCUCGCCGGGGACUGCUCUCUUUCUCUAUGAAAUUCUCCCCGCAGAGGUACGUUACCUCUCUCACCACCAAAUCUCCCAGCGGUUAGACUUCUCCCCGCACUAUCGGGACCUGGUGCCGCUCCACCGCCUCUCACCCUUCCCUCUUGGGUUGCCCUCCGCUCGUUCCGCAGCUCAUGCAGGAUGGUUGUCAAGGUCUCCAUCUGCUUUUCCAUUCGUUCCAUCCGGUCGAACAUGACUUGUUCCCGUGCUUCGCUGAUUACCUCCCUCAGCGUCACGGAAUCGUUAAGCCUCAUGUCACCCCCUUGUGCGCUACUUCCUCCUCUCUCCAUUGCUUCUCGCUUACUCCACCCCUCUUCUUGCUAUCGACAGAAGCUUUUCGCUCUGGAUCCCCACAGACGGCGCCAAAAUGUUGAUGCGAGAUUCCGGUUCUCCUCGUUCCACGACCAGGAUCUCUGCUCGAUCAACUUCUCCACGACCAGGAGGUCUCCUAGUAAUACUUCUUCUCCAGAUGUCCCUGCACAAACAGACAAGUCAGAGUACGCCGGUUGUUCCCCCGGCGCAAACCCUCCGACGCUCAAGUCAGAUAUGAAGGUUCAGGGAACGCUUGCCACAGGUCUUAUGGCUUUUUCGUGGUUUUUCUCUAAUCUCAAAAAUGCCAACCCUUUUACCUUCGUUGGCUACCUUUUUAUAGGCUUCCUCUGAAUCUCAGUCUUCCGCUCUUUUCGAGACGGUAUGGGACUCCAACUGCUGCGUUAUGGGCAAACGUGGGAUCUAGCGUGUUACGCCACGGUUCAGGGGAAAGCGUGGCUGUCAUGGCUCUGUGAGACCUUGCGUGUUACGCCACGGUUCAGGGGAAAGCGUGGCUGUCAUGGUUCUGUGAGAUCUUGCGUGUUACGUCACGGUUCCGGGGAAAGCGUGGCUGUUGUGCCUAGAUUCUCGUGCUGGAGAGCACGUCUUGCCAACUGCCGUCGACCGGGUCUCCUCGCCUCUCGACCUCUAGCCGGGAUGGCCUUAUGCCUCUUAUAGGAAAUUGGCCUCGCGGAUGACAACAUCGUGGACGAGCAGGAUAUUUCUGCUCCUGUUCUUCCACGCACCAGGCUUUAACGGAACACACCGGUUCGCAGAACUCCGCCAUCAGAUAUCUGCUCGUCAUUCCUGGUCCCGUCGACGCAUUUAUCCCAAACAGUAUCUCUCCCAAACAGCAGGUAACUCGUUUUUUGAAAAUAUACAUGUCAGUGAUGGACAGCGGUCAAUUGAUAAGUGCUCAAGAAUAGAUGAGGUGUACCUUCUGCCGCUGCUACACUGGAUGCCCUCUUCCACUGUCAAAGUCCUUAUAUUAUCACAAUGCCAGAUCGUCAACUUCUUAAGGCUCGAUGGUAGCUGGACAGCAGCAAUAUAUGUCAACGAACGGCAACCAUGAAUACUCAAGAUCUCGAGAGACGAAUUGGUGUCGCACAUCCAUGCCUCUGGUAACGAUUUCAGUGCAUCACAAUACCUAAUCUCAAUUUUCCUCAACUUGGAAGGCAGAGCAACCUCAGGAAAGGAAACAAGGGAACUGCACUCGUAGAUUUCUAUCUCUCUCAAGGAACUGAGGCUGAACGAUGAUUGUGGCAGCUUCACAAGGCCUUCGCAAUUACUCAAUCUUAGAUAUUCAAGUCUGCAUGACAACUCGCAGAGCUGCUGUUGUUGGUCUUUCUUUUCCUCCGCCACCAAGGAUUGAAGUUUGGGACAGCUGUCAAUCGUCAGUCUUUUGAGAGAGUAAAUGUCUUGCAGUAAUUCGUUAUGACUCUUCCAUAUAUGUGUUUCAUUUUUAAUAUUUUUUAUCUCCAAUUCUUCCAGUUUUGGUAUUCGCGGCUUCAAUGGCCCUGCGAGAAACACUUGAUUUGAUGUAUCUCUACAAACCACUGAAUUCUGUGAGCCGAGAUGAUCAAUUACACUUCUCCACACAACCUUUUUACAUCCACGAAUUACCAAUUUGCAAAGAGCUGGAAGACUCCUAAUUGAAAUUGACAAUUCUUCGCAUUGUUCAAUAACAAGCAUCUCCAAUGCAGGAAGGUGCUCUGGAAAUGUUCCUUGCAGUUUAGAACAUCUUAAAAUGUGAAGCUCUCUCAAUUUAGGAAACCGUUCAACUCCCUGACUGGAUCCAUGAGGAAUCCACUCUUCCCACUCUUGCAGGUCUUCAAAACGAAGAGUCUCCAAGCAUGUAAAUGGAAUUUGAGAGUCAUCCCCAUAGAACUCUGAACCCAAUCUCUUUACUCUACUCAUUCCACGCACUGUAAGAUGCUUCAGAGAGGGCAGUUGGCCGACUGACGGCAGGGCAGUACACAUGCCGCAAUCUUCAAAUUUAAGUGUUACUAAAUUUAAGAAUGAGGAAUCUCCUAACCAUGUUGGAAAUUUUGUACCUCCAUAGCCACAGAUACCAAAUUGUUCCAGAUUUUUAUGGGGUUUGAGCAUGUCAAGCACACCCAUUUCAGUUUCUGCCUCCCUUGAAGAUGAACCAUCGGUGCUGCAAGUCCAAUUAAGCGAUAAUUCUCUAAGAUUCUUCUUUCCAUCCAACCGAGCCUCCUUUGCAUCACCAAUGUCUUUUACAUUCUCUAAUUUUGAAAUUUUAAGUGUCCCCUGAAGAUGUAUCAAUGACUUUAGCUCUCGUAACCCAGAACCAUUGUCUUUUCCCACAGCAAAAUUACCCAGCGUUUGAAGACAAGUCAGCUUACCAAUUCCUAGUGGCAUUUCCUCCAAGGAAUCUGUAUUUGAAUUAUUGAGAUGAUGCAAUUUGAUGAGAUUUCCCAUGUCUGCACACAACUUCUUCAGUCGUCGACAGCCCUCCAAAAGAAGGGUGUGCAAGUUGUAAAGCUUGCUAACUGAUUCAGGCAGAGUUUUAAUCUCAGUUCCAGACAGGUUAAGGUGCCUUAAAUACCUCAAAUCACCAACUGAAUCCGGCAGCUCGGCGAUGCAAUAUCCACGCAGAGAGAAGACCCUUAAGCUUUGGAGUUUGAACAACUUAGGAAGAAUGCUAUGAGCCAAGUAUCCAUGCUGACUAUUUAACAUCACUGGUAAAAAAGUUCUCAAAUGUUGGAUAUCAUACAAUUUCUCAAACCUUUGAACGCCACCAUAAUCUCCACGAAUGUACGACAGAUGACGAAGAUUUCUAGAAAAACAUUGUUGCUUGUUAACCUCCGAGGUAUACUCCAGUGUGAAGUAUGUCUCCCCUGCAGCCCAACGGGCAAGGUCGUUGAUAAGAUCGUGCAUAACAAAUCGUGAUAUACUGUUGCUCGAUUGCUGGAAAAAAGAUCUUCCACGUAGCUCUUGAAAGAACUUUCGACCGAGAUCUUCACUAGGAUUCCCACUCUCUCCGUGAUUCGAGAAACCCACAGCACUCCAUAAUAAAAUUAUCUCCCCCUCUUCAAAUUCAUAAUCCUUUGGAAACAAUGAGCAAUACGCAAAGCAUUGUUUCAAAGGUGCCGAAAGAUAAUAGUAGCUCACUCUAAGCGCCGGCAUAAUGUCACAUCUCUCUUCUUGCAAUUCCCAUAUCUUGGUACUGAGCACUCUCUCCCAAUCACAUCUGUCAUCUUUUCCUCGCAAAAGUCCUCCAAGUGUUUGCGCUGCCAAGGGCAAGCCAUCGCAUUUGGCCACUAUCUUCUUGCCAAUUUCCUCCAAUAACUUAUCUGACCCCAAAGAGUGUUGAGCGAACACAGACAGACAAUCAUCAUUUGACAACUUUUUCAAUUGAUAAGCCCGAACAGUCCCCAUGAUGGCUGCAACCCCUUGAUUACGAGCUGUGACAAUAAUCUUACUUCCCGGUGCGCCAGCUUCAAAAGGACGCCUGAGUCGAUCCCAAUCAUUGUAAUUCUCAUUCCAAACGUCAUCUAAAACAAGCAAAAAUUUAUUUUGAGAUAACUUCUUCUUCAGCUCCUCUUGAAGCUUAUUCAAGUCGUGAUUAUCCACAUUCUGGUCACUAGCAAUUGAAAGUAGGAUUGAUUUUGUAAGCCUGAUAACAUCAAAAUCAUCAGAGACACAAGUCCAUGCCUUGAGAUCAAAAUGACCCUGCACUCGAGCAUCAUUAUAGACAAGCUGAGCGAGAGUGGUUUUGCCCAGCCCGCCCAUGCCUAUAAUAGGAAUAACAGAGAAUUCACCAUCAUUUCUCAAAUCAUCCCUCAACAACAAUUCAACAAUUUUAUUCUUUUCUGUUUCCCUCCCAUAUACCUUGGCUUCAGUCACUAAAGAGGUUGUGGGUAGUCUUUGCCUGUCUUUUCUGGACCUCCCAGCUGAACUUACGUUCAAACCGAGCGAGUCUUUCUGUGUUACAAUAUCUUGAAAUCUGUCGUUGAUCUCUUUGAUUUUGGACAUUAUGGCGUAAUCGAACUGAAUCGAUUGUGGAGUAAAAGUGGUGCAGCAAGUAGGAAUGAGCUUCCGAAACUUAUUUGUUCUUGUACGACUGCUACUGGGUUGAUCAAGAGCAGCAGCUGGAUCUCCAUUUCCAAGCAGCAACUUCCUCCGGAAAACCUCAGUUUGAAACUCAUCCAGCAAGUCUUCAACAUCAAAAGCCAAGUUCUGAAGCUCGGCAAGCCACAACUUCACAGACUGAUCAGUCUUCUUCUCCUCAGCAUCAGCAAGCACCGCCUUGAUCAUCACCAACAUAUUCUUCCACUUCUUUAGGUCGGCUUCGAUUUGCUCUUGGCGUGCAAACAGCCGAAUCCCCUCUGAAGCUAACUUAUUGACCAGCAAAUCAACGGACGCCGUAAGGAUUGCCUCUCCGAUGAAUGACAUUUUUUUCUUCUUUUUCUUUUUUUUGGUUUUGCAAAGAAAGAAAGGAGCAGAAUUAUGGGUUAUGGAAAGCAGAAUGAGAAAAUGGAUAAUUAAGCAGAAUGAGUUUGUGAUUGUGAAGGGUCUGGCCCAGCAAGCUUAGUAGAAAUCACGCGUUUAUACUUUAUUGACCAAUGACUAAUAAUUUGGCAAUUCACUCAUCACCACCACUUGGUAAGCAAAAUGAAAAUGCUUAGUAAUUAAGUGUCAAGGGUCAAGCAAAAUACGACGUAAAAUGUGUCAAGGGUCUCUCCACUACUUGUUCCUUGCAGCUUAGAAAAGAAAAACAGAGCCCACCACCCAUUAAUAAUUUAGCAAUUCACCAAUCAUCACCACUUGUUACGAAACCAUCUCAUAAACCAAGUUCGUAGGUCGAGCAGUUAAUCCAGUGUCUAUUUCCUAGAACCUUCAUCUCAUAAACCAAGUUCAAUCAAAACGUUCCUCUCUCGCUAUUUUUUUUUUUUUUUUCAAAACUCCUAAAACGCUUCUUUUUAGAAAUAUUUUACUUUAUUCAUCUAAUAUGUUAUCUAACAAAUAGACACAAUUGAAAUCACUCUAAAGUGAAGAUGAAAGGGGAAAAAAAUAACCUUCCAACCACCAGUAAUUUAGCAAGCUUCACUUUAUUCCACCAAAGUGUAAAUAAAGCCAGCCCCCACCACCAUCAAUAAUUUUGCAAGCUUCACACGCUUGUCGUCUUCUCCUUGACGAACUGGACAUGAGUGCACCAAGAAUCAAUGACAGAAUUUUAAAAAUAAUAAUAAGAGAAAAACCUACACAUUUUCGACUUAGAGUAGAACCGUAACUAAUGCUAAAAUCUACUCAGCUAACAUUUUCAAAAUAUUGUUCUUUAUGAUUUUCAAAACCGUGAUUAAGGUUCAUCUCAAAUGUUUGAAGAGAGUCUAUCAGUUCUUCUACGCUAAGAAUAUCAAAAUUCUUGCUUUUUCUUCAAACGUUGAAUAAUGAAAAAAAAAAGUUGAAUAUGGAGGAAAAUAGAAUGCAUCCAUCUUCGCUGUAGAAGUCUUCUACUUAUAAAAGCAAGUUAGAAUAAAUGAUUUUAAUCUCUCUUUUUAUUCCUGUAAGUGCACUACAUUUUUUUUUUUUUAUCUCAAUGCGAAGUCGUAUCAUAAUGUUAUAUACCUGUUGUAAAACAAAAUUUUAGAUAAAACAAAUUCGACUCAUGUUUUAAAGGUAUAUAUUUAGUAGGUUACUAACAUAACUAACAAAACGUGAUUAUUACACUAAAUGAAAUAAAAGACAGUACUAUCACCAAUAAUUUAGCAAGUUUCGCAUGCACGAGUUUCUAAAAACAUUAUAUGGAAUCAAUCAACAGUGAUACAAAGAGAAAAGUGGAAAUCCUCUUAUUGUAUUUUUUUUUUCUUUUUCAAAAGAAAUGGUGGGGUUGGUUUGUUUGCAAAGUUAUUAGCGUGUGUCUAUUUGUUUUUGUUUUAACUUUAUUUUUUUUUAAACUAUUCAAUUUCUGGCGACCGUAUUAAGUCGCGACUAAUCCGAAUUUGAAGUAUAAUCAUAAUUAAGGCAUCUUACCCCUCCUAAAUGGUGUAUUUAGUGGGGAUCGAACCCGAGAACUCUUUGCACAAUCCAACCAGUGUUGCCAACUGAGCCAUAACCAUUUGGUUUGUUUUAACUUUAUUAAUCGAUAAGCAAUCGUGUAAUGAUUUGUAAAUAUCACUAGCAUCACAUUAUUGGGAGGUAUUGGGCUUAGUAUUCACAAUUUUUGUAAGAUGAAUUUGUAAGACAAAUUAAUUUUGAUGAAAAUGUAUCGAUAUUAAGAUAUUAUUUAAUUAUAUUAUUUAAUUCAUUAAGUUAACUUGAGGUAUUAAUAUUCACUAAUUGUGGUGCUGAUUAAUUUACUUAACUUGUCACUAUUUGCAAUUAAGAAUGAGGUUCAAUCAAUUUAUUGGGAAAAAAAAACAAAGAUUUGAUUUUAAUUCUUAGGAUUUGAUUUCGCUCUCUUUCGCUAUUUUACGUUGCUAAAGAGGCAGUAAAAAGCUUGCUGAGUGUCAUCAAAUGCUUGUAUCUCAUCUCACAAAUUGGCAAUAUUUGUUUGGUAUUUCAUCUCAACGGAUGCAGUAAGGAUUGCCUCUCCGAUGACUGACAUUUUUUUUCUUUUUUCCAGCAAAGAACGAAACAGAAUUUUGAGUUUCGAAAAGCAAAAUGAGAAAAUUGAGCAAUUCACCAAUCGGUCAAGCAAAAUGCGCGUAACAAGUCUUCCGCUUCUUGUUUAUUCCAGGAAAGUGCAAAUAAAAAUAGAGCCCACCACCCAGUAAUAAUUGAGCAAUUCACCAAUUACGAGUCACCACCACUCGUUACCAUGAAUAUAAUAAAUUGCAUCUUGAUAUUUGCAGGGUCCAGCAACAUUGACCCAGUGUCCGGGUAAAUGCUGAAUAACGAGGAAAAUGGAAUGUAUCCGCUACGAACCUUCGCUUUGCAAGUCUUCAAACUCAUAAACCAAGUUAAAUCAAAACGUUUAUCUCUCUCUCUCUCUUUUUGCCAUAUAAUUACUUUAUUUAUUGAAUUAAUUUCCAUGCUAAAAGGAAGACUUAAAAGUGCACUACAAUUUUUUUAUAAUCACAAUGGUAAUUUCUACUAUCAUGUUAUUUUAAUGUCGUGUUAAAAUAAAUUAUUACAAAAUUUUUUUUAUGAACACUCUUUUCAUUUAUAAAUUUUUUAAUUUUUAAUAUUUUCUCACUAUUUUUAGUCUUAAUAUUUAUAUUUCUCUCUUCAAACUUUCUUUAUUAUUUAAUUUUUUAAAAAAAUAUGAAAAAAAGUAAAAAAAAUAUUAUAUUUAAAAAAUAGUGAAUAUUUUAUGGAUCUAUUACAAGUCUGUAUUGUUUUUGACAAUGAAAGAGCACGCGAAAAAUCUCACUCAUAGAAAACUUUGUGAAAGGCAUUUGAAUGUGUGGCCACAUUUUCCGAACGAAACGAUAAGGCUUUAGCCUUAUAAUUGCAAUUAGUUUGUCUUGUAACUAAAUUAUUGCCGACAAACACCAUCAUGCUGACAAACCGUGCAUGCACGUCCUCAAUCACCCACCCUUCAAACAAUCCUUACUGAACUUCAAUCCUUGCAUCUCCACUCUCCAAUGUACUUCCCCAGAGGGAAAACCAUUAGCGAUUCUCAAAGACUUUGACAUUGUGGACAAAGUGGUUGUAAGGGGUGGGGAUUAACAUGUCUCCAAACGACAAGCAGCCAUGCAUGUAAUUAGUCACAAGUUGCUUUGAAAUAAAAUAAAUAGUUACUUGACAUUUGGCUCACUGAUUAGUUUCCCGUAUUUCCCAUUACUUCCCGUACUUUAUGCUUUAUUGUUUUGUAUGUCUUUUGGUGUUUACGGUGUAGUUAGGGAUGGUAGCGGGUAGGGUCUGGUACGGGUUUGACAUCACCAAACCCGCAGCUACAAAAAAAAUUAAUUACUAAAUUCGCUGUGGGUUAUAUUUAAUUUUAUUUUUUUAACAAAGCCCAUUCACUGUGUGUUUGAUUGGUGCCUAGUGGAUACUCAUUAGCGGUGGGCAUUAAGAUCGGAUUAACUCGAACCGAAUCUUAAAUUUAUUUUGAGUUCAAUUUGAUUUUGGUUGAACCUUUCAACUGAGUUGAAAACUUAUAAACGAUUGCGUUGUAUUUCUGUUCGAAUUUAACAACAAACUAAGCUACCUAAUCAACUUAAGUAAGCAAAUUUUAAAAAAAAUCCCAAAAAAUUAAAUCUAACCCUAAUUAAAAAAAUUCAACCGAGGCCUCCUUCUCGUCUUCUUUUCUUCUUCUUCCUCUUGCUCACCCCUAAUGCCCCAUUAAUGGAAUUCCAACAGCUAGAAACGCGUUUCAGCCGCUUGCGCGUGUAAGAAAUUUUCCUUCCCAUAGGAUUGUUCGUUUCCUUGGCUUGCAUUAAUAAAUUUGAAGAACAAUUAAAAAUUAAAAGAAAAUAAAAAGUGCUUUCUUUUUUAACGAUGAUAAUUUGUUCGGAUGAUGAAAAUUCUUAGAGUGGUAUAAUAAGUAUUUUCGAGUGUUGCCAUCGCGAAUAAUAUUUAAUUUCAUUUAUAUAGUUAUAUCUCAAGUAACAUUUAAACAGAAGCAAGUUGGAAAUUAAAAAAAAAAAAAAAAGAACCAUUGAGAGAAUGAAAAACUAACCAAAAAAAAAAGUUAAAAAUUUGUAUCUCAAUAAAUUUACUUGAGAGCUACUCUACUAAUCCGUGAAGAGAAAACACAAAGAAUAAUGAUGUAUCUUAAUUAAUAGGACAAUUUUUGUAUUUUUCGUUUAUUUAAGAAUCAUGAAACUUCAUUUAAACUUGUUAUUUCAUUGAUAAUAUAUUAAUAUUGAACAAUUUAGGAGACAUUCCUUUCCAAUUAUGCCCAUGUAUUAAUUAAAAACCACAAAAACGUUCAGGGAUACUAUAGUAAUUUAAGUCAACAAUUUAUGUGCUUGAAAUCAUCCGAUUAGACUCACUUCAGAAUAAACUAAGAUAUCAAAAUCACAUUCUUCAAUUCUACAAUUUCAAUUCAUCUUCAUAACUUCAACUGAAGAAUUGAUUUUAUCUCGUUUUAAUUUUUUUUAUGUAAAGAUAAAUAUAAAAUAUAAAUGGCGAGGAGACUGGAAAAGUAAAAUCAAAAGAAGAGCACGAGUUUUAUUGAAAAUUACUCUUUUUCAUCAUUUUGCCGGAGUGAAUGUAUCUACAUUUAAACAAAAGAAGCACAUUUGUUUGUAUUAACUUUUUUAUUGUAUUUUUAAUAAUAAGUCAUUUUUCAAUUAACUUAUAUCAUUUUUUACGAAAAUAAUAGGUGUUAGUUAGUUGAUUCAAAUGGCAAGACCUCUUGGGAUAGAGUUUGUAAUUUAGUGGCUUAUCAAUUGUUUAAAUAGGCAUUAUUAGAGCCAAAUUAUUGUAUUUGGUUAAAAAAGCUCCUACUUAGCUUACAACUUUAUUAUCCUAUUAUGUUUAUUAAUAAAUAACAAUUUUAUUGAAAAAAAAAAGAUAUGUUGAAAAGAUACAAAAAAUUUGGGAUGUAAAUCUUACUCGAAUUUAGCUUGAGGUUGGCAUUGUUAGCAUAAUAUUUGAAGAUAUAUUUUUUAAAUUAAAAAAAAAAAUUGGGUUCACACUAGUUAGUUUUAACUCAUAGUGAGAUUUAAACAAAAACGGAAUAAUAAAUCUUGAUAUCUUAACUCAUGGAUAACAUCUACAUAAAAUAAUAAAAUCUAUUGUGUCGAAAAUAAGGGGUCUAAAGUUUGAAUUUCGCUCACAUAGGUAGCAAGAGAAUUAAAUUAUUGUUAGAUUAAAUUAAUUAAAAAAAUUAUCUGAUAUCCAAAACACAGCAUAUCAAAAAAAUUGAAAUAAAAGAAAAUUGAAAAGCAAAACGAUUGAGAGAACGAAAAACUCACACAAGAAACUGCCGAUAAUUAAUUGCCUCAGCGGGCACCAACUUAAUUAUGCUUAUUAAAGCAUGGGUUAUUUCAUUUUCAUUGAUAAUCAUUUUGACACCGGUCAAAUUUAAAAGUUUAAAUAAUGGGGGCCAUUUUUCUUUCCAGCUAUGCCCAUUAGCUAAUAAAAGAACCGCCGAAAGGGUUCGGGGAUAAUAUAGUAAUAUGAUUGAUAAUCAUUUUGGAGCUGAGUAUUCUUCGUUCCACAUUUUGGGUUUUGGUUGACCAUAUUUUAAUACUUUUCUGGAAAACAAAUAUAUAUUUAUUGACUUGUAAUGGGUGCAACUCAUGUUUUUGAAACAUUAAGAUCUUUACUUACUUACACUAAUACGGCAACUGCUGCUUGCUUUUUUUUUUUUUCCUUUUGACUUUUAUUUUUACUUUUUGACUUUUGCUUUUGGUUAAUAAUAAUAAUAAUAAUAAUAACAACUUUUUAAUUUAAUAUAAUAUUAAAUAAUAUUUUUAUUUUUACAUUAUAAUUUAUUAUAACUAAUAAUAAAUAUUUAAAUUUGAAUAAUAUUAAUUUAAAAUUAAUAAUAAUAUAAAUAAUAAUAUAAAAUAUUAAUACAAUUUAAAUAUAGUAAUAUAAUAUAAUAUUUAAUUUAAAUUAAUCACAAAAAUUAAUACAAUACAUUGUAGCACCAAAUAUUAUACAGUAUUACUAUAAUACAGUACUGAUACAAUUUGAGGGAGAUUGUCAGCUUUUUUGGAUUAAAAAUAAUAUAUACCACUUACUCUUUAUUGUUUUUAUAAUGUUCAACAAUGAUAAAAAAAAAACGAAAAGAAGAAAUAAAUAGAUGAUUUGCUUGAAAUUGUAUCUUAGAAAUAUAAAAUAUAUAUUUAUUAUUAAAAAUAAUAAAGAGUACAUAAAAAAAUAUCUUAUCCUCAACAACAAGAUCAGACGACGUCAAUUCAGCAAAAUGACUUGUACAAUUUGAAAGUCCAGCGACGGUCACCUCUUGGCACACAUACGGCAACGUGUGUAGCUUUGGCAAGAGGUCUCCCAAAAGGACGAUUAAGGAAAGAUUGCAAGACAAAAUCAUGAAAAUAGUAGUACAGAUAUCCAAUCGCAAACAAGUCUUAGAAAUCGCACCCCUGUAUUAAUUUCCAGAAAUAUGUUUGUUCCAUAUUUAUCGUGCACGUAUACAUUGUAUGUAUUGGGAAUAGAAAGAGUGUAUGAAAAAAAUUCUUCAUUCAUCAAUUAAAACUUAACUUAUGUACGAGGGUUAAGUGUAGAGUUUUUAAAUUUGAAACGGAUAAGUAUUAUAGUCCAUUUCAAUUUAGAUACAAGUACUUCGAACUUAUAUUUGAGGCAAAAAUCUGUAUACCAUAGUACAUAUUAUAUAUCCAGUCAUGGGAUCCAUGCAUGGUUCCAUGUCAUUCGCAGAGUUGAACUGGAGACACUGAUUAUGUACAAGUAAUUGCAUGCACCAUUUGCGCCUUAUCUAUCACCCUGCUUGCAUUGCAUUAACUACGUCCCCAAUCACCCACGUCCGCUACUUGUGUGAACGUGUAUAUAAAUAUAUAUAUCCGCAGCAUAUUAUCAAACCAGAAUCAGAAGCAACUUAAGUUUUGAUUACGGUUCACCAGAAGUCACAGCUAGCAAGUGAUCCUUGCAUCAUUUUGCAUCAAAGUAAGAAACAGAGCUAACGAGAGAUGGACAAGUAUUAACCAUCGUUACCAGAAAUUAAAUAUGUCCGCAUUUUGUCAGUUCUGGCCAUAUUUUGAAAGAUUGGAACUAUUAGCACCCUAAUUUUCUUUUGAAGCUCCUUUUCUGUGGAAACCUAUUUUAAUUUCCAAAAUAUCUUUUUCCAUUCUUUUAGUUUCUUUCUGAUUCAAAAAAAAUAAAUCAGUUUCUUAAAUAACUCCAACUACAAAUAUUUUUUUACAAAUUUUUGAAUUGUUAAAUCAUAUGUGUGUGUAUAAAUUGAAUAGAAUUAAAAGUGAACUCAAAUGGUUAUUAUGUAAUUUUUUAUAAUUAAAGAAAAGUUUAGAAUGCAAAAGUGUGUGUGAGAAAACAAAAAAUAUAAAUCGCCUUUGAUGUAGUUGUAUGAUUGUAAAGAGUUAAAUGGAGAAAUAUAGUAUAUAGUUAAAUUUAUUUUGUUCUUUAAAACGGGUAGGUUUUAUAAGAAAUUUUUAGAGGAGUGCCAAUAUUUCAACUCUUUUUCAAAUGAAGUGAUGUCCAAGAAUAAAAUCACUACUCUAUCAUUGCUAUUAGUUUGUCUUGUAUUUCAAUCACUGCCGACAAGUAUUAAUUAUGAAUAUUAUUAUUUUAAAAAUAUUAUUAUUAUUAUCGUCGUUAUUCUUAACAGCAAUGACUAGAAUUAUAAUAAGAACAAUAACGUUAAUACAAUAAUAUAACAACAUAAUAAUAUUUUAAUUGAGAGGAUAAGAAUGAAAUUAUGAAAUUUAAGUUGGGUAAAAUGGUGAGUAUGAGGAAAUUAAAUUAUCAUUCUUUAAGCUAAAUAGUUCGUAAAUCCCACAUAUUUCAUUCUUAUUUCUCUUAUAUUUUAAUAAGUAAAUAUUAUUAAUUAUUUUAAUAUUUUAAUUAAUAAACACGACAUUAACUACGGAACUAAAAGAUCCCCAAAAAAAAAAAAAAGGGGAGACGCGUCUAUGUAUUGCUUGUGACAAGUCUCACCCAUGGAAAACUUUGUGAAAGGCAUUUGAAUGUGUGGCCGCAUUUAAUGAACGAAACGAUAACUUUAAAAGAAAGUAUGUACUGUGUUAAUUAUUAGGCUUUAGCUUAAUGAUUGCAAUUAGUUUGUCUUGUAAUUAAAUUAUUGCCGACAAACACUAUCACGACUCACGUCCGCUACUUGUGUGAAUGUGUGUAUAAAUAUACGCAGCAUAUUAUCAUCUUUUCUAAUUCGAAGAAGAUGGAAACUCCUUAUCCAGGUUAUUAGGCCAUGUUUAGUUGAAUGUCAUUUAUAAUUUUUAUUUUAAUAUUAUGUAUUUAUGAAUACAAUUAUUGUUAUGAUUUGUUUAGGUAAGAAUAGAUGAUCUGAGGGUAACCCAAUAACUAUGUACAAUAUUAUUAAUGGUGAGAGCGUGAAUAACAAUUUAGAUUUUAUUCUCGUCCCUUAAUACGGAAGAAAUAUUGAUCAUAGCGGUUAAAUGCUAUGCAACUCUUUCAUAUUAUGUUUAAUUAAUAAUAAAAUGAUGGGUUAUUAUUACCUGUCAAUUAUGUGAGGAGUGUCUUUGUUUGGUUUAGUUACACUUAUAAAAUCUCUUGAGAUAUACAAGAGAUUUUCUUUAUUUAAUUUUGUGUACCCUGUCUUCUUGUAAAAAGAAAUUAAUAAAAAGAAAAUCAUUGUGUGCAAUGUAUUAACUAAGUUAGUGUAUUCAUGUUAGCUUAAUUGUGCUCUCUCUUCUUGAUAUUUAAAAAAAAAAAAAAAAACUCCACAUAUUAUUGGUUAGCUAAUUCUUGCAGCUAGCAAGUGAUCAUUUUCUUUCCCCUACUGCCGUAGCAUCAAAUCCUUACAAUUACAUAUCAAGUGGUAGUCGAGCCGUCAAAUGAUCCAUGGAAACGCGCAACAAAUCAAAUGCUGAAUUUUGCGAAGAGAUUCACGAAAUCCUUGCUAUACAUGAGUCUAGUUUUGACCAAGUUCACGUCACUCAUCAGCUGCGGGGUUUUUUUUUUUUUAUUACAUGAGACUAUUGCUCAGAUUACAACUCAUAUACAUGAGAUUAUUACUGAUAUUUACAAAUCAGACUAUUACUGGGACCAACUUACAUCAAUGCUAAUGGAGCUCUGCCCAGAUUUUAACCUUCACAAAUAUUUGAGGGAUGUCUACUCCUCACUCAUGGGUAAGGGAGAAGACUAUUUUCACUCAAAUUAAUUGAGGAAGGAAAUACCCCCACAAUGCUUUUGUGGGGGAGAAGACUACCAUCAGCUGCGGGUUUGAAUGGUACCUAGUGGAUAUUUUGUGAGUUCCCACUAAUAAAAUCACACUUGCAACAAAACUUAAAAAUUUAAAUUACGUAAUUUAAAUUAUAAAUUUAUAAUCGUAGCCUAAAAAAUCACAUAAAAUACUUAAUUCUAGAUUUUAUCAAUGUAAAUGAGAAAUAAAAGUUUUAACAUUAAAAUAAAUACACAAAAUAUAUCAAUUUAACCUAAAUUCUCAAAUUUAAUUACCAAAUACAUAAGUCUAUCGCAACUCAAAGAGCUUUCAAUUGAAAAUGAAAAAAGAGAAAGAGAAAAAAAAAACACUACAAAUCAAAGUAGCACCCAUGACCCAUUUCGCGGUCUCAUUCAAUACCACUAGCACCCAUCCAACAUGAUUUUUCUAAACAAAGUAUAAAGUACAAAAUUACAAUAAGCAUAUCAUACUUCAUGCUUUAAGUUAAAGAUCCUUAUAUAUUUUUAUGAAUAAAUUUUUAAUGAAAUUUUAUGAUUAAAAUUAAAAAUACAAACAUUCAAAUAAGAAUGUCGGACACUUGCACAACUAUUUAUCAAAGUUUUUCUCUAUAAAAAUCGACCUGCAACUUUCAAUAGGUUUAAAUUUAUAAUAUCAAACCUAAUUGCAGCUUGCAAAAAUUAUCCGUUGCGGCCAAGACUUUGGAUUUGCGAUGAUUUUGCCACCCUAAGUGUAGUUAGUAUUGUAUAUCAUGUGGCUCUUAUAAAAAGCCUAGAAGUUGUUUGAAUAACGGGGGAGACACAUAUCGCCCAAAGAUUUUCUCUUUUUCAAAUUAUUAUUUUUUCUCUAUUAUUGUAACUUCGAAUCCUUAUAAAUUACAGAUUGGAGACAUGAACACAAUGUUUUGACAUAGUGGACUUUUGGCUUUGUCCUGAGAAAUUUAGGAUAGAUUUUUACGCACUAAGGCUCUAUUUACUAUUGAGGUUUUAGAACUUUUAAGCCACACUAGAAAUUUGUAUUGUUUUGAUAGAGUUCUAGUUCUUGAUAUGUGAUUGGUAUUAAUCAAGUGUUAUGUUUACAAUAGUUAAAUGCAUAUUGAAUCAAAAUCCACUUCUAAGGGCUUGAUUGAGUGAUUGUAAAGUAGGUUUUUAGUUUGCUAGCCACUCAAGUUCAAAUAUUGGAACCACAAAGCUUAUAGCCAGGUGAGAGAACUUGUGCCCUAAAAAUUGAGGGGUGCAUAUCGAGUUUUACCACCAAUAAAAGUUGGUGUUAAAACUUUAAUUUCUCAUCUAUUGAUGGAUAGGGGUGAUUAGGAGUUUACAUCUCCUCCUAUUAAUAGACAAGGGUUAUUAGGAAUAUUAAAAAAAAAGUUCAAAUAAUGAAAAUGUAGGUAUGGGUUAUAAAAUUCAUAAUAUAAAGACACAAAAUCAAGAUAAAGAUUUAAAAAUUUAGAACUAUGAGAGUGUGACUUGUAAGUUUCAAAGAAGCGUGUGCAAAUAUAUGCAUUAUCGAUGCCCAAUUAAGGGUGGGCAUUAAGAUCAGGUUAACCCGAAUCGAACCGAACCGAACUUAAAAUUUAUUUUGGAUUCAAUUUGGUUAUGGUUGAAGUUUUCAACUAAGUUCAAAACUUAAAAAUGAUUGGGUUGUUGUUCUGUUCGAAUUUAACCCCAAAAGACUAAUCAAUCCAAUCGAGUUAAGUAAGCAAAUUAAGAAAAAAAAUCCCAAAAAAUUAAAACUAACCCUAACUAAAAUAUUCGACCGCGGCCUCCUCGUUUUCUUUUCUUCUUCCUCCUCUCGCUCACCCCUAAUGCCCUUCAUGGAAAUCCAACAGCUCCAAACGCGUUUCGGCCGCUCGCACGUGUGAGAAAUUUUCCUUCUCAUAGGAUUAUUCGUUUCCUUCGCUUGCAUGCCAGCAAAACCCAAUCAUAAGUUCAUAACGUUUAGCGUUUGCUAUUACUAUAAUUUUUUUUAACCAAUUUUCACAUUCAUCAACAUCGGCUGACAGAUUUUGUAGAAAAUUAAAUUAAAUAAAAAUACAAGCUCACGAAAUUCCUUUUACACCUUUCACGUGCUUUUCUUUUUUUGGUGGGGGGGUGAAUUCACUUGCUUUUGUUUGCAUUGCCUUAUUGGAUAAAAGUUUGUAGAACAUCGUCUGUUUGGUUAAAGCCGAGCAUGAGUGAAGAAAAAUUAAAAAUAAAUAAUUUCCCAUUAAUUUGCAACAAGUAUUAAUAAAGUGCAUGAGAAAAGACACCAAGAUAUGCCUUUUUUUAAAUGAAAAUAAAUGUGUUAAUUAGUCAAUUUAAAUGGUAUGAUAUUUUGAAAUGAUAGAAGCGAUCUAAAGUUUAAAUCUUACUCACACUUAAUUUAGGGUUGGGGAUUAAUUGACGUAAUAUAUAAUAACGAAUUCGAAAGACAAUUAAAAAUUAAAAGAAAAUAAAAAAGUGCUUUCUUUUUUAUGAUGGUAAUUUGUUUAGAUGAUGAAAACUCUUAGAGUGGUAUUAUCAAUACAUAGUUUCGAGCGUUGCCAACGUGAAUAAUAUUUAAUUUCCUUUAUAUAGUUAUAUCUCAACUAACAUUUAAACAGAAGUAAGUUGUAAAAAAAAUGAACCAUUGAGAUUUGAGAGAACGAAAAACUAAAAAAAAAAGUUAAAAAAUCAGAUCUCAAUAAAUUUACUUGAGAACUACUUUACUGAUUAGUGAAGAGAAAACGCAAAGAAUAAUGAUGUAUCUCAAUUAAUAGGACAAUUUUUGUAUUUUUCGUUUAUUCAAGAAUCAUGAAACUUCAUUUAAACUUGUUAUUUCAUUGAUAAUAUAUUAAUAUUGAACAAUUAAUGUAGGAGACAUUCCUUUCCAAUUAUGCCCAUAUAUUAAUUAAAGACCACCAAAAAGUUCAGGGAUACUAUAGUAAUUUAAGUCAACAAUUUAUGUGCUUGAAAUCAGCCGAUCAAACUCACUUUAGAAUAAACUGAGAAAUCAAAAUCGCAUUCUCCGAUUCCACGAUUUCAAUUCAUCUUAUUUCUUCAACUGAAAAAUUGGUUGUAUAUCGUUUUAUUUUAUUUUUAUUUUUAUAUAAAAAUAAAUAUAAAAUAUAAAUGACGAGGAGACUGUAAAAGUAAAAUUAAAAGAACACAAGUUUUAUUGAAAAUGACUCUUUUCAUCAUUUUGCCGGAGUGAAUGUAUCUACAUAUAAACUAAAGAAGCACAUUUAUUUGUAUUAGCUUUUUUAUUGUAUUUUUAAUAAUAAGUCAUUUGUCAAUAAACUUAUAUCAAUUUUUACGAAAAUAAUAGGUGUUAGUUAGAUUAUUCAAAUGGCAAAACCUCUUGGGAUAGAGCUUGUAAUUUAGUGGCUCAUGAAUUGUCUAAAUUGACACUACCGAAUUAUUGUAUUUGGUUAAAAAAGCUCCUACUCUGCUUCAACUUUAUUAUCCUAUGAUGUUUAUUAAUAAAUAGCAAUUUUAUUGAAAAAAAAAAAGACCUCUUGAAAUGAUACAAAAGAUUUGGGAUAUGAAUCUCACUCGAAUUUAGCUUGAGGUUGGCAUGGUUAGCAUAAUAUUUGAAGAUAGAUUUUUUUUUAAUUAAAAAUCAAAAGAUUUUUUUUUGGGGUUCAUACUAGUUAGUUUUAACUCAUAGUGAGAUUUAAACAAAAACGGAAUAAUAAAUCUUGAUAUCCUGACUCAUGGAUAAUGUAUAGAUAAGAUAGUAAAAUUUAUUGUGUCUGAAAAUAAGAGGUCUAAAGUUUGAAUUUCGCUCACAUAGGUAGUAAGAGAAUCAAAUUAUUGAUAGAUUAAAUUAAUUAAAAAAAUUUCUGAUAUCCGAAACAACAUAUCAACAAAAUUGAAAUAAAAGAAAAUUGAAGAGAAAAACCAUUGAGAGAACGAAAAAUUAACACCAGAAAAUUUCUAUAACUAAUUGUAUCAGUGUGCGCCAACUUCACUUAUUAAAACAUGCUUAUUUCAUUUUCAUGGAUAAUCAUUUAAAAAAAUAUGGGCUUUUUCUGUGCUUCAAAUCAUCAAAUCAAACUCACACCUCACAAAAGCAGAGAAAUCAAACGGUUUCCGACUCUACGCUUUAAAUUCAACUGAAGAAUCGGUCGUCUCUCAUUUUUUAUUUAUUAUAUAAAGAUAAAUAUCUAAAUUUAAAUGGCGAGAAGAGCGGACGAGGAAUACGAUUACUUGUUCAAAGUGGUAUUAAUCGGCGAUUCGGGAGUCGGCAAUUCGAACUUACUCUCCCGAUUUACUCGUAACGAGUUCUGUUUGGAGUCCAAAUCCACUAUUGGCGUCGAAUUCGCCACCCGCACUCUUCAAGUAACUAACUUUUCCUCUUUCCCUUCACUUCUUUUUUAUUAAUUAAUUAAUUAAUUAAGAUCCAGUUAAUGUAAUUAAUUUUAUUUAAUCUUUUAAAUAAAGUUCUAGAUUAGGCUAACUUAGAUUCAUGUGAAGUUGAAGUGAUUUACUUUCGAUCUCUUUUUCGUCCUAUGUUUAUUUGUACUUACUAUUACUUUUUUUUGGGUUUAAAUUUUCGUUUUUGAAGUGUUUACUGAAUAAAUUUCUGAGCUUUAUUUGUGUAUGCUGAUUGAUUUGUGAUUUUAAUUUUGUGACUUUUUUUUUGGAAUUUAAAUUUGAAUGCUUUUUAAGUUGAAUCUGAAUGUGUUGGGCUGCAAUUUAAUUAAGUCAUCUGUGAGCGCCAAAUUGUGAUAGCUAUAUAUUGGGGUGAAAAUUUGGGAUUUAAAGUUAUGUAUUUAAGAUGCAGUUAAUUCGCAAGUGAAAAUUAUGGGCCGGCAGAUUUUGUCAUUGGAAGACUGUUCUCCACAUGUUGAAGUUAGUGAUGCAAGUUGAAACCAAUCUGUUUAAGCUUGGGGUUUCAUGUCUUGAAUCAAGGCUGUGACUUGGGGUGGGUUGAAAGUAUUAUAGCUUUAGCUAUUCCUGAAGUGAUCUGUUUAGACUCACCGUGAUGAGACCGAGUGCUGUACAGUAAAAUGAAAGGAAGUUGGAAAAUAUUUACUUAGCAUUUCGCGUUACUAAUGUUGAACUAAUAAAACCUAGCCCCUAUCCUAGUGAAUUUAUCUUAAAAUAAUAGCAAUAAUAAGUGGACAAAGCUAAGUUCCAGAGGUGAGAUAGGAAAUUCUCCCACACGACACAGCACAAACAAACUUUCCCUUUCAUUUUCUUUUCUUUUCUUUUUCUUGCUCUCCAAACAGAGCAAAAGUAACGUCGCAAGAUUCUUCACUUCCAUCCAAAAUCAUGAGCAACGAAUAGCGAGCCUCCCUGUUUCCUUCCUUUUUUUGAUAUUAACAUUGUUAACAUCUACUCAUUUUCAUUUGACAAUACUUCAAUUUUUUUAAUUUUUGGCUUUUCAUUUUUUUUUGUUGCCAAACCGAUUAUCUGUUCAAGCUGUUGCUUAUCGGAGACUCGUCCAUCGGAAAGUCCUGCCUGCUGCUCCGAUUUGCUGUCUGUUGACUCUUCCUUUUCCUCUUUAUUUUCUUUUUUUUUUUAUAUAAAUUACUUUCUAUUUUAGCUUUUUGUUCUUUGAAUUUGUGUUAUUAAAAUGAUAAUUUAGAUGGUAAAUAAUUGUUAUUCUUGGAAAUUUCAGUUUUCAUUACGUUAAUUACUAGUUUUUAGGUUUAUUAAUGUAAUUUUUUUUUUAAUUUUUCAGGAUGAUUCUUAUGUCGACAGCUACAUCAGUACCAUUGGAGUAGAUUUUGUGAGUCUCUCUUCUAUAUAUAUGUAUAUAUGUGUAUAAGUUAUAGUAUGAGUCUAUGUACGUGUAUGUAUGUAUGUGUAUGCAUAUGUGGAAAGAAAUGUUGGCAGACUUCAGCAUUUUACUUUUUUUUUUUUUAAUUUUGGCAGAAAAUAAGAACUGUGGAGCUGGAUGGGAAGACGAUCAAACUGCAGAUUGUGAGUCAAAAUUUCCUUUUAUCCUGUAUUGAGAGAAAUUCGACUUGUCUUAUUUAGUGAAGGUUAUGUUCAAGAACCUUGUGUUAUUUUCUUUGUUUGAAGAGUUAUAUGUCUUUUAAACAUCAUUUAGGUAAUGUCUGAUGUUUGAUUGUUUUUCAUCUGUUUAGUGGGACACUGCUGGACAGGAGCGAUUCAGGACUAUAACUAGCAGUUAUUACCGAGCCCAUGGAAUCAUAGUAAGGAGCCUUCCCUGUUCUUGGUUUAAAUCAGAAAGUUUGUGAUUUACAUGUGACAUCUUAACAACAUUGUAUGUGUUUAUUAACUUAUUUUUCAUCUUUCAUUAAGCAGUACAUUUUCCAAUAAAUCUGUAUACAAGAUGAUGUAGUCCAAGAAUGGGAGCGAUAAUAUGAUGCAUAUUGUCUAAUAAAUUCUUAUGACAUAUGAUGUUGUCGGAAGUAAAAGUCUUGCAAUGCUGUAUUCUCUUUUAAGAAAGAAUAAGUGAUACUUUUGUUUUUCCAAUUUUUUAAUUGAGCAACUGUGUGAGAUUAAUUAAAUGUGUUUGGAUUUCAACAGAUUGUCUAUGAUGUAACUGAGAUGGAGAGCUUCAAUAAUGUCAAGCAGUGGUUGAAUGAGAUUGACAGAUACGCAAAUGACAGUGUAUGCAAGCUUCUAGUUGGGAACAAAUGCGAUUUAGCUGAGAACAAGGUUGUGGACACAUAGACAGCCAAGGUAUAUUCGUGACUUCUGUCGCCUGAACUUUGAACAUAAUUUUAAGCUCUUCUCAAGUGCAUUUGCUUGGUAAGUUUCUGCAUACCCAGGACGCUCAAACUUUGGACAUUUUGUAUCUCGAGUUGGAAUCUUUUCUGUCAAUACAACUUUUUAAAAUAAGGGUUAUUAUCGUUUGAAUCCUUCAAGAAUUGCAAUAAAUCUAAAGUCCAUAAAAAAUAUGAUUCCAUCAUUUUACUAUUAUAUCCAGACAAAACCCAUUAUUUUACUACAUUUCAUUAGCACCGAUAGUUGACCUGUUGGCUGACUGAUAAAAUAUCAAUUUUGCACUUUAUAUUAAUUCUUUUUUGGUUAAAAAAUAACACACAAAGUAUUACAAUAUUAUAAAUUCAAAAUAUAAAGUAGCUACAAAUAAUUGCUAUUAGCCUAUGAAUUUAAUAUUUGAUACCUCUAUUUGUGUAAUUUUUUUCCAAGAGUGAAAUUGGUAUUUUUUUUGUACUAACGGAAAUGUAGUAAAAUGAUAAGUUUUGUAAAGAUAUAGUAGUAAAAUGAUAGGCUAAAAUACUUCUUGUAGUUGUUUGAUAUAUUGUAAUUCUUAAAGUAGUCAAUUGAUAAUAUCCCCUAAAAUAAAUGUUCGUAAUAUGUUCUCAUUUUAAUGCAACUGAUUGUUUAAUAAAAUUGUAUUUCUUUGUUAAUCUUUUUUCAUGUGCAUGCUCAGUGAGAAUUUGACUUACUAGAACACAAGUUUGACUCUUCAUUUAAAUGUCUCUUGUAUCAUAUCCUUCAAUGUUGAGUGUGAUUCCAAUAAAAUUGAGUAGGGGGAUCCUUAAAUACCUUUUCCUUUUUUCCAAGGGCCUGCCAAAUUGCUCUAAGUGGUUCUACCCUUUAUCAAUGAAUUAUGACAAUAAAAUUUUUAUUAAAGCAUUUUGUUCCUUAAAUGGUGACUAAUAGUACCCCUUUUUUUGGAGAGGAAAGCCAAACAUGCCCAAAGAGAAUCAUUUACUUUCCUCUAAUGUAUUUUCUAAUUCGUUUUGAGCCUUGAAUGUCUGUUUUGGUGCGUAUUCUCAUUCCAUGUCGAAUCUUAUCCAUAUGGACAACCCCACUUACAAAAAAGUCUAAUGAAUCUAUUGAAGUUCAUAUGAGGUUUGUGCUUUAGAUUUAGACCUCUCUCUCUCUCUCUCUCUCUCUCUCCACUUACAUGUCUUUCACUUACCUGUUUGCAUGCAUGCCCAUUCACACACUUUCAAGAUAAUACACGGUCACUCGUACUUGUGUUUUGGUUGAAUUACUGGCUGCUAACCUCUGUAAUUCAGUUUGAAACUUGCCACCCUUAGUGCUUCACUCAAAUGGUUGGUUAGGGUGAGAUCUGUAUCGUUUUCCUGGUCUCUUUCCAAGGUUAUCUAAAGGGUUUUGGCAGUCUGAUUCUUUAGGGAAUAUCAUUGCAUAAGAUAUCUAUUGUUUGUUAAUGAAUAAUUUCUAUUUAACUAGUUAUCUAUAUAAAUUGGUCAAUUUUAACUGCAUAAUUUGCAUGCAAUAAGAUUUUAUAAGAAUCUUGUUUUCAACUCAUGACUUAGACUAAUGUGAUACGUUGAGCAUUAAGCUACAAGAUCUGCACAUCAAAGUGCUUCACAAUGUUAAGGAGAAAGCAUCGUUUUCUGCUUCUUCAUGUGAUUUAAAGUUUCCAAGGUACUUAUCCAAUAAAAUGUCUUUCAAGACUUUGGAAAUGCUUUUAUGUAUGACUGAGAGAAACUUGUUGGGUUGGUUUUUAGCAACAGAUGGAGUUAUGGACUUUGUGUUGACUUGUUAUUGAUUAAGACAGUACAUCGGCUGAUCUAUUGGCAUCAAGCAGCAGAUGCAGAAAUUAUGGGUGGCAUACCAUUGUAUCCAAAUAACAUACUACAUUGAUUUUUCUGACUUUCUGUUGGUCUCCGAGUGAAAUGCAGGCAUUUGCAGAUGAACUGGGGAUUCCUUUCCUGGAGACGAGUGCCAAAGAUGCAAUCAAUGUGGAGCAGGCUUUCUUGACCAUGGCCGGCGAGAUUAAGAAAAAGUAAAAUCACUUAACUCUUUCCUUCUUGCCGACUGUUCUUAUUUAACAAUCACCAUUAUUGCUGGUUAUAUGCAUUGUGAUGAAAAUUCUGCAAUGAGUAACUUUUUACCUAAUGUUUUCUGUUGGAACAAAUUACUCUGGUAGAAAAGCCCUACAGGGUUUGAGAAAUCCCAUGAUGUGAUGAUUGUGAGCAUUUUAGACACCGUGUAUGGGUUUAUUUUGUGACUAUAAAAUGUUAAGAUUGUUUCUAGUUUUGGUUUGUAGUGCAUAAAAGGAUUCAAAAUUUGACAUCUGUCUAAAUCAGAUUAAUAACAUGAUAAUGUACCUAUGCAAGAUGUGAGGAAUUGUUUUAUCUCACCCCUAAACUUUAAGAAAUUGAAACAUUAUUAUUCAAAAUAUUUAACAUUUCCAGAAUUGAUAGUUGUCUAUUUGAGCAGUGACUGGUGGUUAUCAUGAACUGAUGUGUGGUUGUGGUUUCAAAUCUUGGUGAAACCUGUUGUCAUAUGCUGAUUAACAUAGCUAGUCUCUGAAACAAUUUGUUGAUUCACUAAUUAUGAGUUCAAAUUUGAUGCAGAAUGGGCAACCAGCCUUCUGCAAACAAAUCUUCUGGAACAGUUCAGAUGAAGGGAUAGCCAAUCCAGCAAAACUGCAACCGCUGUGGUUAGCCGAGCAUCUUAUUUUACUUCUACAUGUUAGCUGACUGAUUGUAGACAGUUUUAACUAUGUUGACUGCAUUAUCUUAUGAAUCUUUUAAUCUGUCAAAUAUUUAUUUCCUGGUUUAAGUUCUUUCCCGUUUAUAACAAAUUUAAUUUCUUGCUCCAUUGCAUUCCAAAUUCCUGUCAAUUUACGAGGGAAAAGGAAAAGAGAGACAAAAUGGGAGAAAAUGGUCAAAUUUGUUAGGGGGAGAGAGCUGUUCAAGUAGUUUUUGUUCUCGUUUAUUGUCAUAUCGGAUGGGUAAAGUUACCGAAACAGCGUCAUUUUGGGUGAAUUAUCAUAUUUAUGUAACACUUUUGAUAAUAUUUUUAUGCAACAAAAAAAUGUUAGUACCCUUUUCACAUUGUGAAGCGCAUGAUCGGAUGAGAGCAGUCUGUAUUCUGGCAUCACAAGCUAAUGCUUUGAUUUGCUUAGUUUGUUUUUUUUUUUUUCAUGGAAUUUGGAGAUGUUGUACAUGUAUGAAGAUGACGUAAUAAAGUUGUUUUGAUAAAUUUCCCUGGUCGGUUUACUUCACUAACCAUUAAUGCGCAAAGCCUCCUAAUGACCCUAAAAAAUCCCGUACAUAAUUAAAGAAUUUCAAUUUUAUACGUACAAAAAUAAAUAACUCUCAAAUAUAUUAUUUGAUAAUUCCAAAAACAGCAAUUCAUUCUAAUAAAUCUCGUAGGAAAUACAUGGUCUAUAUUGCAAGUUUUUUUUAGACUAAUUCAAAGAGAAAAUAUGAAGGACAUAUUAUUGUCCUUUAAUUGUCAUAAAGAACUCUAAAUAAAUUCUUAUACGCAUUGCAACUAAUUACAGCCUUGAUACUUCAUUUGGUUUUUGUUAAUUUUCUAUACAGUUGUGCUGUGCAUUAAAGUUUUGUUAAAUGAAAUCGGUAGGUGAGGAUUAAUUAAUCAAUUAAUUAAGAUCCAGUUAAUGUAAUUAAUUUUAUUUGAUUUUUUUAAUUCGAGUUCUAAAUUAAUCAAUUAAUUUAGAUUCAUGUGAAAUUGAAGUGAAUUAGUUUCGAUCUGUUUUUCGUCCUAUGUUUGUCUGUGUUUACUCUUACUUUGUUUUUUUUGUUUAAAUUUUGUUUUCUUAUUGUUUACUGAAUAAAUUUCUGAGCUUUAUUUGAGUAUGAUGAUUGAUUUGUGAUUUUAAUCUAAAUGUGUUGGGCUGCGAUUUAAUUGAGUGAUGUGUGAGCGCCAAAUAUUCAAUAACUGAUAAAUUAUAUUUAUAAAUAUUAAUAGCGAUGGCACAUAAACAAUUAAUUCAAGAACUUGCCCAUAGUGAUUAAUUUAAAGAGUAUAAGUAACAUCGCAAUACAGUCUAGCCCUUACAUGUUUAAUUAGCAAUUGAAAACUACUGUUGCUGAUGAGGUAGAACAUUAUAACACUGUUGCUGAUGAGGCAGCUGGUAAUUCUUCUGGUGAAGAUAUUAAGACUAUUAAAGCUGAAAUGUAAUUAGAGAAAUAUAAUGCAUUCCCUUAGUUUGCUUUUUGUUUUUUAUAUUUGUUUGGCUAAUGCUUUGCUUAGAUUGCUUUUUGUUUUUUGAGAUUUUAUUGGCUUAGUCGUGGGGUAUUGUUUUCUCUUCUAAUUUCUAUUUUUGUUGUUAUGGGAUUUGAUUGUGGUGUACAUAUACGAAAAUUAUGUAAUCAAAUGCUUUCAAUAAAUUAUUUAAAUUAGUUUUCAACUGAGAUUUGAAUUUUGAAAUUACAUACACAAACAAGCCCUUUUUUUAAAAUACUAAUAAUAAAAUAUUUCAUUUUUCAUCUAUUACUACAAGAGGUAUAAUCGCAAAAGUGAGGAAGGCAGUCAUCCUCUGUUCAAUUAUCAAAAACUCCUUUUACCAUCCAUUUGAACAUACAUAAUCACGCCCAAUUUGAAAAAAAAAAAGUAGUAAUUUUAAAAUAUUUCAAUCGUCCACUGUUCAGUCACCAAAAACCAAUUUACCAUCCAUUUCAACGCCUAAUUUGAAAAAAGAAAAUACUAAUAAUAAAAUAUUCCAGUCGUCCAUCCUUUCACAAACCAAAAAUAUCACCAAAAACCAAUUUCCAAUCUAUUUCAAAACAAUUUUUGCCAAAGUCCUCCUCGGCUAAUUAAUUCAUACAUUAAUACAGUCCUCCUCUGCUGAAUAAUGCAAACCCGUUACGUUAUUCUACCAUUUCUUUUUAAAGCAUUCCACCAUUUAAUAAAAAAAUUCGAAAACCCAUUAUAUACAAUACAAAAAGCCCACCGACACCAAACCAUAUUAAUUUAAAAUAGUUUUCAAUUGAGUUUUGAAUUUUAAAAUUACAUACACAAACACACCCGAUUUAAAAAAAAUAAUAAUAACACUAACAAUAAAAUAUUUCAGCCGUCCUAUGUGUUAUCGCCAAAAACGGAUUUCCAAUCUAUUUCAACGCGCGGUAUAUGAGUUAACAAGUCCCAAUACUGUCCUCCAUCCUUUCUGCACUUCUCUGCUAUCAACGGACAUCUCGAGAUCCGUAAUUCCAAAAGUGAGGAAGGCAGGCCCUUCUCCGGAAAGUAUUUGAGCUUGGGACAAUCAAAGAGAUACAAUUCAGUGAGGUUUUGAAGAUCAACAAUUGAAGAAGAUAGGCGUUCCAGAUUUGGAAAAGCUUCAAUCCACAGAGAUGUUAGAGAGGCAGGAAGAGGAAGCGCGGUCCCUAAUCUUUUGUCCUCUAGUGGAAAUGAAACCAUGUCCUCAUCGCAUCUGCUGAUUGUAAGACGUCGCAGAGAGGAGAAUCUGUGAAAUCCCCGUCCCCGCUCAAUCAUUGACUUCCAAAUCUCCAUAUUACCCCAAAUAUCAAGUGACUGAAGGUUGGUGGGAAGGCCAUCUUCUUCUUCAAGGCUUGGAAGCGCACCUCCUUUUCCUAUUCUUAAGUAUUGAAGAGAGGUCAGAUUGUGCAUUCCCUUGGGUAAGGCCUCUAGUCUCUUACAAUCAAGUAUCGUCAGCCUCGUGAGUUUCGCACAAGGCAAUCCCCCUUCGGGAAAGGACACCAGAUUUCCACAACUAUCUAUACUGAUUGUUUCAAGAGAUGUGUUGUUGUCCAACCUUUCUGCUAUUGACCCCAGAGGUAGAUUGCCAACUUCAAGGGACUCAAGCGUGGCAGGUAACUCGUUUUUUGAAAAUAUACAUGUCAGAGAUGGACAACUAAUAAUUUCUAAGUGCUCGAGAAGAGAUGAGGUGUACCUUCUGCUGCUGCUGCUACACUGGAUGCCCUCUUCCACUGUCAAAGUCCUUAUAUUAUAGCAAUCGCAGAUCUGCAACUUCUUAAGGCUCGAUGGUAGCUGGACCGCAGCAAUAUAUGUCAAGGAAUGGCACUUCUCAAUAUCCAAGAUCUCGAGAGACGAAUUGGUGUCGCACAUCCAUGCCUCUGGUAACGAUUUCAGUGCAUCACAAUGCCUAAUCUGAAUUUUCUUCAACUUGGAAGGCAGAGCAACCUCAGGAAAGGAAACAAGGGAACUGCACUUGCAGAUUUCUAUCUCUCUCAAGGAACUGAGGCUGAACGAUGAUUGUGGCAGCUUCACAAGGCCUUCGCAAUUACUCAAUCUUAGAUAUUCAAGUCUGCAUGACAACUCGCAGAGCUGCUGUUGUUGGUCUUUCUUUUCCUCCGCCACCAAGGAUUGAAGUUUGGGACAGCUGUCAAUCGUCAGUCUUUUGAGAGAGCAAAUGUCUUGCAGUAAUUCGUUAUGACUCUUCCAUAUAUGUGUUUCAUUUUUAAUAUUUUUUAUCUCCAAUUCUUCCAGUUUUGGUAUUCGCGGCUUCAAUGGCCCUGCGAGAAACACUUGAUUUGAUGUAUCUCUACAAACCACUGAAUUCUGUGAGCCGAGAUGAUCAGUUGCACUUCUCCACACAACCUUUUUACAUCCACCAAUUUCCAUUUUGCAAAGAGCUGGAAGACUCGCAAUUGAAAUUGAUAAUUCUUCGCAUUCUCCAAUAACAAGCAUCUCCAAUGCAGGAAGGUGCUCUGGAAAUGUUCCUUGCAGUUUAGAACAUCUUAAAAUGUGAAGCUCUCUCAAUUUAGGAAACCGUUCAACUCCUUGACUGGAUCCAUGAGGAAUCCACUCUUCCCACUCUUGCAGGUCUUCAAAACGAAGAGUCUCCAAGCAUGUAAAUGGAAUUUGAGAGUCAUCCCCAUAGAACUCUGAACCCAAUCUCUUUACUCUACUCAUUCCACGCACUGUAAGAUGCUUUAGAGAGGGCAGUUGGCCGACUGACGGCAGGGCAGUACACAUGCCGCAAUCUUCAAAUUUAAGUGUUACUAAAUUUAAGAAUGAGGAAUCUCCUAACCAUGUUGGAAAUUUUGUACCUCCAUAGCCACAGAUACCAAAUUGUUCCAGAUUUUUAUGGGGUUUGAGCACGUCAAGCACACCCAUUUCAGUUUCUGCCUCCCUUGAAGAUGAACCAUCGGUGCUGCAAGUCCAAUUAAGCGAUAAUUCUCUAAGAUUCUUCUUUCCAUCCAACCGAGCCUCCUUUGCAUCACCAAUGUCUUUUACAUUCUCUAAUUUUGAAAUUUUAAGUGUCCCCUGAAGAUGUAUCAAUGACUUUAGCUCUCGUAACCCAGAACCAUUGUCUUUUCCCACAGCGAAAUUACCCAGCAUUUGAAGACAAGUCAGCUUACCAAUUCCUAGUGGCAUUUCCUCCAAGGAAUCUGUAUUUGAAUUAUUGAGAUGAUGCAAUUUGAUGAGAUUUCCCAUGUCUGCACACAACUUCUUCAGUCGUCGACAGCCCUCCAAAAGAAGGGUGUGCAAGUUGUAAAGCUUGCUGACUGAUUCAGGCAGAGUUUUAAUUUCAGUUCCAGACAGGUUAAGGUGCCUUAAAUACCUCAAAUCACCAACUGAAUCCGGCAGCUCGGCUAUGCAAUAUCCACGCAGAGAGAAGACCCUUAAGCUUUGGAGUUUGAACAACUUAGGAAGAAUGCUAUGAGCCAAGUAUCCAUGCCGACUAUUUAACAUCACUGGUAAAAAAUUUCUCAAAUGUUGGAUAUCAUACAAUUUCUCAAACCUUUGAACGCCAUCAUAAUCUCCACGAAUGUACGACAGAUGACGAAGAUUUCUAGAAAAACUUUGUUGCUUGUUAACCUCCGAGGUAUACUCCAGUGUGAAGUAUGUCUCCCCUGCAGCCCAACGGGCAAGGUCGUUGAUAAGAUCGUGCAUAACAAAUCGUGACAUACUGUUGCUCGAUUGCUGGAAAAAAGAUCUUCCACGUAGCUCUUGAAAGAACUUUCGACCAAGAUCUUCACUAGGAUUCCCACUCUCUCCGUGAUUCAAGAAACCCACAGCACUCCAUAAUAAAAUUAUCUCCCCCUCUUCAAAUUCAUAAUCCUUUGGAAACAAUGAGCAAUACGCAAAGCAUUGUUUCAAAGGUGCCGAAAGAUAAUAGUAGCUCACUCUAAGCGCCGGCAUAAUGUCACAUCUCUCUUCUUGCAAUUCCCAUAUCUUGGUACUGAGCACUCUCUCCCAAUCACAUCUGUCAUCUUUUCCUCGCAAAAGUCCUCCAAGUGUUUGCGCUGCCAAGGGCAAGCCAUCGCAUUUGGCCACUAUCUUCUUGCCAAUUUCCUCCAAUAACUUAUCUGACCCCAAAGAGUGUUGAGCGAACACAGACAGACAAUCAUCGUUUGACAACUUUUUCAAUUCAUAAGCCGGAGCAGUCCCCAUGAUGGCUGCAACCCCUUGAUUACGAGCUGUGACAAUAAUCUUACUUCCCGGUGCGCCAGCUUCAAAUGGACGCCUGAGUCGAUCCCAAUCAUUGUAAUUCUCAUUCCAAACGUCAUCUAAAACAAGCAAAAAUUUAUUUUGAGAUAAUUUCUUCUUCAGCUCCUCUUGAAGCUUAUUCAAGUCGUGAUUAUCCACAUUCUGGUCACUAGCAAUUGAAAGUAGGAUUGAUUUUGUAAGCCUGAUAACAUCAAAAUCAUCAGAGACGCAAGUCCAUGCCUUGAGAUCAAAAUGAUCCUGCACUUGCUUAUCAUUGUAGACAAGCUGAGCGAGAGUGGUUUUGCCCAGCCCGCCCAUACCAAUGAUAGGAAUAACGGAGAAUUCACCAUCAUUUCUCAAAUCAUCCCUCAACAACAAUACAACAAUUUCCUUCUUUUCUGUUUCCCUCCCAUAUACCUUGGCUUCAUUCACCAAAGAGGUUGUGGGUAGUCUUUGCCUAUCUUUUUUGGACCUUCCAACUGAACUUACGUUCAAACCCAGCGAGUCUUUCUGUGUUACAAUAUCUUGAAAUCUGUCGUUGAUCUCUUUGAUUUUGGACAUUAUGGCGUAAUCGAACUGAAUCGAUUGUGGAGUAAAAGUGGUGCAGCAAGUAGGAAUGAGCUUCCGAAACUUACUUGUUCUUGUACGACUGCUACUGGGUUGAUCAAGAGCAGCAGCUGGAUCUCGAUUUCCAAGCAGCAACUUCCUCCGGAAAGCCUCAGUUUGAAACUCAUCCAGCAAGUCUUCAACAUCAAAAGCCAAGUUCUGAAGCUCGCCAAGCCACAACUUCACAGACUGAUCAGUCUUCUUCUCCUCAGCAUCAGCAAGCACCGCCUUGAUCAUCACCAACAUAUUCUUCCACUUCUUUAGGUCGGCUUGGAUUUGCUCUUGGCGUGCAAACAGCCGAAUCCCCUCUGAAGCUAACUUAUUGACCAGCAAAUCAAUGGACGCCGUAAGGAUUGCCUCUCCGAUGAAUGACAUUUUUUGUUCUUUUGCUUUUUUUUUUUUUGGUUUUGCAAAGAAAGAAAGGAGCAGAAUUAUGGGUUAUGGAAAGCAGAAUGAGAAAAUGGAACAGGUGAGAAAAUGGAUAAUUAAGCAGAAUGAGUGUGUGAUUGUGAAGGGUCUGGCCCAGCAAGCUUAGUAGAAAUCACGCGUUGAUACUUUAUUGACCAAUGACUAAUAAUUUGGCAAUUCACUCAUCACCACCACUUGGUAAGCAAAAUGAAAAUGCUUAGUAAUUAAGUGUCAAGGGUCAAGCAAAUACGGCGUUAAUCCAGUGUCUAUUUCCUAGAACCUUCAUCUCAUAAACCAAGUUCAAUCAAAACGUUCCUCUCUCGCUAUUUUUUUUUUAAAAAAAAAAAACUCCUAAAACGUUUCUUUUUAGAAAUAUUUUACUUUAUUCAUCUAAUAUGUUAUCUAACAAAUACACACAAUUGAAAUCACUCUAAAGUGAAGAUGAAAGGGGAAAAAAAUUACCUUCCAACCACCAGUAAUCUAGCAAGCUUCACUUUAUUCCACCAAAGUGUAAAUAAAGCCAGCCCCCACCGGCAUCAAUAAUUUUGCAAGCUUCACAGGCUUGUUGUCUUCUCCUUGACGAACUGGACAUGAGUGCACCAAGAAUCAAUGACAGAAUUUUAAAAAUAAUAAUAAGAGAAAAACCUACAUAUUUUCGACUUAGAGUAGAACCUUAAUUAAUGCUAAAAUCUACUCAGCUAAUUUUCAAAACCGUGAUUAGGGUUCAUCUCAAAUGUUUGAAGAGAGUCUAUCAGUUCUUCUACGUUAAGAAUAUCAAAAUUCUUGCUUUUUCUUCAAACAUUGAAGAAUGAAAACAAAAAGUUGAAUAUGGAAGAAAAGAGAAUGCAUCCAUCUUCGCUGUAGAAGUCUUCUACUUAUAAAAGCAAGUUAGAAUAAACUAUUUUAAUCUCUCUUUUUAUUCUUGUAAGUGCACUACAUUUUUUUUUUUAAUCUCAAUGCGAAAUCAUAUCAUAAUGUUAUAUUCAUGUUGUAAAACGAAAUUUUAGAUAAAACAAAUUCGACUCAUUUUUUAAAGGUAUAUAUUUAAUAGGUUACUAACAUAACUAACAAAACGUGAUUAUUACACUAAGGACAUGUUUGGUUACUGUAUUAUAACCCCUCAUUGCAUUAGUUUUAUACAAGCCUAUGUUUGGUGAAUUAAAAACUACAGAAACACUGCAUUAUGGGCCUAGCUAAUGCGGCAAACUGCCGCUUGCUGUUUCCUUUUUUUUUUUUUGCCUUUUCAUUUCCAACUUUUCAGUUUUUGCUAACUUUUGUUUUUACUUUAAUUUUUUUUUUCUUUUCGUUUCCAACUUUUCAGAUUUUACUAACUUUUGCUUUUACUUUAAUUUUAUUAUAAUAAUAAUAAUAAUAAUAAUAAUAAUAAUAAAUAUUUUUAAUUUAAUAUUAUAUUAUUUAAUAUUUUUAUUUUUACAUUUUAAUUUAUUAAUAAAUUUACAAUUUAUUAUGACUAAUAAUAAAUAUUUAAAUAUGAAUAAUAUUAAUUUAAAAUUAAUAAUAAUAUAAAAUAUUAAUAUAAUUUAAAUAUAUUAAUAUAAUAUAAUAUAAUAUUUAAUUUAAAUUAAUCAAAAAAAUUAUUACAGUACAGUGUAGUACCAAACAUUGUACAGUAUUAUUAUAAUAUAAUACUAAUAUAAUACAGCAUAAUAUAAUACAACAACAUUAAAGUAAUGCAAUACAACAUAAUACAAUACGUGUACCAAACACACCCUAAAUGAAAUAAAAGACAGUACUAUCACCAAUAAUUUAGCCAGUUUCGCAUGCACGUGUUUCUAAAAACAUUAUAUGGAAUCAAACAACAGUGAUACAAAGAGAAAAGUGGAAAUCCUCUGAUUGUAUUUUUUUUUUUUUUUCAAAAGAAAUGGUGGGGUUGGUUUGUUUGCAAAGUUAUUAGCGUGGGUCUAUUUGUUUUUGUUUUAACUUUUUUUUUUAAACCAUUCAGUUUCUGGCGACCGCAUUGAAUCCUGACUAAUUCGAAUUCGAAGUGUAAUCACAGUUAAGACUCAUUACCCCUCCCAAAUGGUGUGUUUAAUGGGGAUCGAAACCGAGAGCCCUUCUCACAAAUCCAACCAGCGUUGCCAACGGAGCCACAACCAUUUGGUUUGUUUUAACUUUAUUAUUCGAUAAGCAAACGUGUAAUGAUUUGUAAAUAUCACUAGCAUCACAUUAUUGGGAGGUAUUGGGCUUAGUAUUCACAAUUUUUGUAAGAUGAAUUUGUAAGACUAAUUAAUUUUGAUGAAAAUGUAUCGUUAUUAAGAUAUUAUUUAAUUCAUUAAGUUAACUUGAGGUAUUAAUAUUCACUAAUUGUGGUGCUGAUUAAUUUACUUAACUUGUCACUAUUUGCAAUUAUGAAUGAAGUUCAAUCAAUUUAUUGAGAAAAAAAAAAAACAAAGAUACCUUUUUUCUUUUGAUUUUAAUUCUUAGGAUUUGAUUUCACACUCUUUCGUUUUUUUACGUUGCUAAAGAGGCAGUAAAAAGCUUGCUGAAUGUCAUCAAAUUGGCAAUAUUUGUUUGGUAUUUCAUCUCAACGGAUGCAGUAAGAAUUGCCUCUCUGAUGACUGAAAUUUUUUUUUCUUUUUUUGGGCAAAGAAAGAAACAGAAUUUUGAGUUUUGAAAAGCAAAAGGAGAAAAUUGAACAGUAAGUGUGGAGGGUCAAGCAAAAUGCGCGUAACAAGCCUUCCGCUUGUUGUUUAUUCCAGUAAAGCGAUAAUAAAAUCAGAGCCCGCCACCCAUUAAUAAUUUAGCAAUUCACCAGUCACCAGUCACCAGUCACCAGUCACCAUGAAUAUAUUAAAUUGCACCUUGUAUUUGCGGGAUCCAGCAACAUUGACCCAGUGUCCGGGUAAAUACUGAAUAAAGAGGAAAAUGGAAUGUAUCCACUACGAACCUUCGCUUUGCAAGUCUUCAAACUCAUAAACCAAGAUAAAUCAAAACGUUUAUCUCUUCUAUCUCUUUUUGCCAUAUAAUUACUUUAUUUAUUGAAUUAAUUUCCAUGCUAAAAGGAAGACUUAAAACUGCACUACAAUUUUUUAUAAUCACAAUGAUAAUUCCUACUACCAUGUUAUUUUAAUAUCGUGUCAAAAUAAAUUAUAACAAAAUUUUUUUUAUAUGAACACUCUUUUUAUUUAUAAAUUUCUCGAUUUUUAAUAUUUUUUUCACUCUUUUAGUCUUAAUAUUUGUAUUUCUCUCUUCAAACUUUCUUUAUUAUUUAAUUUUUAAAUAAAAAUAUGAAAAAAAUAAAAAAAAUAUUAUAUUUAAAAAAUAAUAAAUAUUUUAUCGGUCUAAUCCAUUGACAAUGAAAGAGCACGCGAAAAAUCUCACGCAUAGAAAACUUUGUGAAAGGCAUUUGAAUGUGUUGCCACAUUUUCCAAACGAAACGAUAAGGCUUUAGCCUUAUAAUUGCAAUUAGUUUGUCUUGUAACGAAAUUAUUGCCGACAAACACCAUCAUGCUGACAAGCCGUGCAUGCACGUCCUCAAUCACCCAUGUCCUCUACUUGUCUUUUGGUGUUUACGGUGUAGUUAGGGAUGGUAGCGGGUAGGGUCUGGUACGGGUUUGACAUCACCAAACCCGCAUCUACAAAAAAUUUUAAUUACGUAAUUCAAAUUAUAAAUUUAUAACCGUUGCCUAAAAAAGCCACAUAAAAUACUUAAUUCUACAUUUUAUCAAUAUAAAUGAGAAAUGAAAAUAUCAACAUUAAAACAAAUACACAAAAUAUAUCAAUUUAACACCAAUUCUAAAAUUCAAUUACCAAAUAAAUAAGUCUAUCACAACUCGAAGUGCUUUUAAUUUAAAAUGAAAAAAGAGAAAGAGAAAAAACAAAGAGCUACAAAUCAAAGUAGCACCCAGACCUAUUUCAUAGGCUCAUUCGACACUAAGAUCUUAGAAUUAAGAUCUUCAAUUCAUUCAUUACCACUAGCACCCAUUCAACGUGGUUUUUCUAAGCAAAAUAUAAAGUACAAAAUUACAAUAAGCAUAUGAUACUCCAUGCUUUAAGUUAAAGGUCCUUAUAUAAUUUUAUGAAUAAUGAUUUAGUGAAAUUUUAUGAUUAAAGUUAAAAAUACACAAAUAUUAAAAUAAGAAUGUUGGACACUUGCACAACUAUUUGCCAAAUUUUUUCUCUAUAAAAAUUCACUUGCAACUUGCAGCAGGUUUAAAUUUAUAAUAUCAAACUUGAUUGUAGCUCGCAAAAUUUUUAGAUUUGCGAUAAUUUUGCCACCCUAAGUUUAGUUAGUAUUGUAUAUCGUGUGUUUCCAAUUGGCUCUUAUAAAAAGCCUAGAAGUUGUAUGAAUAAUGAGGGAGACAAAUAUUUCCCAAAGAUAUUAUCUUUUUCAAAUUUUUUUCUUUUCUCUAUUAUUGUAACUUCAAAUCCUUAAAAAAUUACAUAUUACAGACAUGAACACAAUGUUUUGACAUAGUGGCUUUUGGCUUGUCUAGAGAAAUUUAGGAUAGAUUUUGAUGUACUAAGGCUCUGUUUACUAUUAAGAUUUUGGAACUUUUGAGCCACACUUGAAAUUUGUUUAAUUCUAAUAGAGUUGUAGCCUUCGAUAUGUGAUUGGUAUUAAUCAAGUGUUAUGUUUACAACAGUUAAAGGCAUAUUGAAUCAAAGUCCACUUUUGAUUGAGAUUUUAAAGUAGGUUUUUAACUUGAUAGCCACUCAAGUUCAAAUAUUGGAACCACAGUGCACCUUUCACUUACUAGGCUUUAACCAAACAGACGACGUUAUACAAACUUCUAUCCAAUAAGGCAAUGCAAACAAAAGCAAGUGAAUUAAAAAUAAAUAAUUUCUCAUUAAUUUGCAACAAGUAUUAAUAAAGUGCAUGAGAAAAUAUGUCUUUUUUUAAAUGAAAAUAAAUGUGUUAAUUAGUCAAUUUAAAUGGUACGAUAUUUUGAAAUGAUAGAAGCGAUCUGGAGUUUAAAUCUUACUCUUGACGUAAUAUUUAAUAACGAAUUUGAAGAACAAUUAAAAAUUAAAAGAAAAGAAAAAAACACUUUCUUUCUUAAUGAUGGUAAUUUGUUCAGAUGAUGAAAAUUCUUAGAGUGGUAUAAUAAGUAUUUUUGAGUGUUGCCAUCGCCAAUAAUAUUUAAUUUCCUUUAUAUAGUUAUAUCUCAAGUAACAUUUAAAUAGAAGCAAGUUGGAAAUUAAAAAAAAAUGAACCAUUGAGAGAAUGAAAAACAAACAAAAAAAAAGUUAAAAAAUUGUAUCUCAAUAAAUUUACUUGAGGGCUACUCUACUGAUCUGUGAAGAGAAAACACAAAGAAUAAUGAUGUAUCUCAAUUAAUAGGACAAUUUUUGUAUUUUUCGUUUAUUCAAGAAUCACGAAACUUCAUUUAAACUUGUUAUUUCAUUGAUAAUAUAUUAACAUUGAACAAUGUAGGGGACAUUCCUUUCCAAUUAUGCCCAUAUAUUAACUAAAGGCCACCAAAAAGUUCAGGGAUACUAUAGUAAUUUAAGUCAACAAUUACUAUGCUUGAAAUCAGCCAAUCAAACUCACUUUAGAAUAAACUGAGAAAUCAAAAUCACAUUCUCCAAUUCUACGAUUUCAAUUCAUCUUCUUUCUUCAACUGAAGAAUUGGUUGUAUCUCGUUUAGAUAAAUAUAAAAUAUAAAUGAUGAGGAGACUAGAAAAGUAAAAUCAAAAGAAGAGCACGAGUUUUGUUGAAAAUGACUCUUUUUCAUCAUUGUGCCGGAGUGAAUGUAUCUACAUAUAAACUAAAGAAGCACAUUUGUUUGUAUUAGCUUUUUUAUUGUAUUUUUAAUAAUAAGUCAUUUUUCAAUGAACUUAUAUCAAUUUUUAUGAAAAUAAUAUGUGUUAGUUAGUUGAUUCAAAUGGCAAAACCUCUUGGGAUAGAGCUUGUAAUUUAUUGGCUCAUGAAUUGUCUAAAUUGACACUACCGAAGCCAAAUUAUUGUAUUUGGUUAAAAAAGCUCCUGCUCAGCUUCAACUUUAUUAUUCUAUGAUGUUUGUUAAUAAAUAACAAUUUUAUUGAAAAAAAAAGACCCCUUGAACUUAUACAAAAGAUUUGGGAUCUGAAUCUGACUUGAAUUUAGCUUGAGGUUGACAUUGUUAGCAUAAUAAUUGAAGAUAGAUUUUUUUAAAUUAAAAAUCAAAAGAUAUAUAUAUUUUUUUGGUUCACACUAGUUAGUUUUAACUCAUAGUGAGAUUUAAACAGAAGCAAAAUAAUAAAUCUUAACAUCCUGACUCAUGGAUAACAUUUACAUAAGAUAGUAAAAUCUAUUAUGUCCAAAAUAAGAGGUGUGAAGUUUGAAUUUUGCUCACAUAGGUAGUAAGAGAAUCAAAUUAUUGUUAGAUUAAAUUAAUUAAAAAAAUUAUCUGAUAUCCAAAACAGCGUAUCAACAAAAUUGAAAUAAAAGAAAAUUGAAGAGAAAAACCAUUGAGAGAACGAAAAAUUAACACAAGAUAAAUUCGAUAACUAAUUGUAUCAGUGUGCGCUAACUUCACUUAUUAAAACUUGGUUAUUUCAUUUUCAUUGAUAAUCAUUUUGACAACGAUUUUUCUUUCCAAGUAUGCCCAUGAACUAAUAAGAGAACUGCCGAAAGGGUUCGGGGAUAAUAUGGUAAUUUAAAUUAACAUUUCCUGUGCUUCAAAUCAUCAAAUCAAACUCACACUUCACAACAACAGAGAAAUCAAACUCACGGUUUCUCUCAUUUUUAAUUUAUUAUAUAAAGAUAAAUAUAUAAAAUUAAAUGGCGAGAAGACCGGACGAGGAAUACGAUUACUUGUUCAAAGUGGUAUUAAUCUAAAAACAAUAAUAUUAAAUAAAACACCUGGGAGUCGUAAUGGAAAGAAGAAUACAAUAUAUGAAACUUAUAAUGUUAUUUUUACUAUAUUAUAUUGAUACUUUGUUUUGUUAAUCAUAUAAGUCAAUCAGUAAUUAUUUAAUCAUUGGAAUUAAAACUAAUGUAUUAAUUAAAAUUCAAAAUCUAUUAUAAAAAUAGUAAAUAUUAAUAUAAAGAGAUGGACCUAUUACAAAAUACAUUCACCAAAAGUUCUAUUAUACUUAAAAUUCUCAUUCACAAAAAAAAAAAAAAAAAUAGUUGAAUACAUGUACAAAAAAAGGGGAUAAAUAAAAAAUAAUAAUAAUAAAUAAUAAAAGGAUAGUUUAUAUAAUAAAAAAUAAAUUUAUUGAAUAGAGAUGUUAAUAAUAAAGAAUAAUAGCCUAAUCAAACUCACUUUAGAAUAAACUGAGAAAUCAAAAUCACAUUCUUCGAUUCUACAAUUGAAUCUUUUUCAUCAUUUUGUUGGAGUGAAUGUAUCUACAUAUAUUGGGGACCAUAAUGGAAACCGGUAGAACCUACAAGGGCUAAAAUCAAAACAACGAACGAUAUCUCAAGGUCGCCGAAACGUAAAUAAUUAAUCUUAUCUUUCAAUUGAUUUUUGUGGAGCCAGAGACAAUUAAACCCGAACAGCAAAUAGCCAUAAAUGAUAGGACAAUUAAAUUGGAACUCUUCACAGACCCACGAUUUAAUAUCUUUAGAUUGUAACGGUUUAACCCAAAAAAAAAAUAGUAAAAUAUUUCUUAAAAAAAUGAAAAAAAAAUGUUGAAAAGAAGAACAAAAUUCUGGUCCACGUGUCAUUUCAAAAUAGGUUGCUGGCAUAAACAACCGGCCCCAUCCCGGACAGAUGUUAUUUGAGUGGUUGGUACGCAUUUCCACUUUUUUGUUUUAGAUGCAACGACUCAUGCACUAAAUAUAUAUAUAUAUAGGGAAUCCCUAUCUUACAUGCAUGUAAAAUAUAUUUUUCUCAUAUAAAUAAUAUAUGUGUAGAAUUCACGUACUGUUUAUGUAAGAGAGAUGUAUCUUACAUACAUGUAAGAUAUGAGGAUUCAUGAAUAUAAUGUUAUUAGUUUAAAUAAUGGGUGCAACUCAUGUUUUUGAAACAUUAAGAUCUUUAGCCAUUCUCUUACUAUCCCGUGGUUAUUUAAGUUACAAGAGACAGUAAAACAACAACGUCAUAUUUUAAUUACUUACACUAAAUAAAUUACUCACACUGAUGCCGCGACUGCCGCUUGCUUUUUUUCUUUUUUUUGCCCUUUUAAUUUUGACUUUUGCUUUUACUUUUUGAUUUUUGCUUUUGGUUUAUAAUAAUAAUAACUACUUUUUAAUUUAAUAUAAUAUUAAAUAAUAUUUUUAUUUUUAAUUUUACAUUAUAAUUAUUAAUAUAUAAUUUAUUAUUUAAUAUUAUUAUAUUAUGUUUUUUAUUUUUACAUUAUAAUUUAUAAAUAAAUUUAUAAUUUAUUAUAACUAAUAAUAAAUAUUUAAAUUUGAAUAAAUUUGAAUAAUAUUAAUUUAAAAUUAAUAAUAAUAUAAAAUAUUAAUACAAUUUAAAUAUAAUAUAAUAUUUAAUUUGAAUUAAUCACAAAAAAUUAAUAUAAUACAGUGUAGCACCAAACAUUGUACAUUAUUAUUAUAAUACAGUACUAAUACAACGCAACAUAAUACAAUACACCAACAUUAAAAUAAUACAAUCUAAUAUAAUACAAUACAGUGUGCGAAAUGCACCGACAUGGUAUUACUUUGUUUGUCUUGUUACUUACAGUUAUUUAAUCUGUAGACCCACUCAUGCUCCUUCUAUGUAACAUAGAUACAAUUUGAGGAAGAUUAUCAAUUUUUUUAUUAAAAAUAAUAUAUACCACUUAUUUUUUAUUAUUUUUAUAAUGUUCAACAAUUCGCUUGAGAUCAAAAAAUUAAAUGAAAAGAAGGAGUAAAUAGAUGAUUUACUUGAUGUUGUAUCUUAGAAAUAUAAAAUAUAUUUAUUUAUUAUUAAAAAUAUUUAAAAAUAAUAAAGAGUAUAUAAAAAGUAUCUUAUCCUCAACAACAAGAUCAGACGACGUCAAUUCAGCAAAAUGACUUGAAUAACUUGAACGUCCAGCAACGGUCACCUCUUGGCGCACACAUGGCAACGUGCGUAGCUUUGGCAAGAGGUCUCCCAAAAGGACGAUUAAGAAAAGAUUGCAGGACAAAUCAUGAAAAUAGUAGUACAGAUAUGCAAUGGCUAAAUUUCCUCGAUUAAGUCCAUCGCAAUCAAGUCUUAGAAAUCACACCCCUGUAUUAAUUUCCAGAAAUAUGUUUGUUCCAUAUUUAUCGUGCACGUAUAUAUUGUAUGUAUUGGGAAUAGAAAGAGUGUAUGUAAAAAAUUCUUCAUUCAUCGAUUAAAACUUAAUUUAUGUACGAGGGUUAAGUGUAGUGUUUUUAAAUUUAAAAAGGACAAGUGUCAAUCCACUGAGGCUUGACUCAAUGGCUAGAGCCACACUCCCUCACAAAGUGGUUCGAUCUCCCACAGAUGUAUUAUAGAAGUUUAAUUUAAAUUUUUUUUCUCAAAUUUUGAGUGAAGACAGUCUUUCUCCCCUAAAUAGAGUUUUUCUAAAAAUUUAAUGUUCUUCGAAUAUUUGAGAUGAUUAAAAUUUGAGCGGUGCUAUAUAAAAUAUAAUGUAAACUAAUCUAAAUAAUUAUAUAAUUAUAAAUAUAAUGAACAAUAGUCUCAUACAAAAAAAUGACAAGUGUAGUAAGCCCAUUUAAAUUAACUUAUAUUUGAGGGGAAAAUCUCUGUAUAUCAUAGUAUAUAUUAUAUAUCCAGUCGUGGGACCCAUACAUGGUUCCAUGUAAUUCGCACAGUUGAACUGGAGACACUGAUUAGUUCGUUGUCUAUUUGCCAACUUAUGUACAACUAAGUAAUUUCAUGCACCAUUUGCGCCUUAUCUAUCCAUCCUGCUUGCAUUGCAUUUUACUAAACAUACAAUGAAAUUAACCCUUGUAAUUUCGGCCUUUGCCAUAGUCGUUUUGUUUAUUAGGUUUAUGUUUAUCAACAUGAUAUGUUGUCAACCAUAAUCACAAUCAAGUUGUUAAUUAUUUUUUAAAUAAUGUGAAGGAACAAGAUUUUGGUCUUUGACUGUGGAGUUAAAAAUAUCUCACCUCAACAUACGGUGUUGUGCUCUCAUCAUCUUAACAUUAUUUGUUAAAAAUUAUGUCAAAGAGGAAAGCAGAUUCAAACAUUACUUCAAUUUUCUUUAAGAGCAUAAAAAAAUCGUUAAUAGGCUACUGUUAUUUGUUAGUACGAUUUCACAGAAGGAGGCUAGAGGAAGAUGAAGCUUUCACGUCAUGUGUGCAUCAAAGUAAGAAACAGAGCUAACGAGAGAUGGACAAGUAUUAACCACUGUUAUCAGAAAUUAAAUAUAUCAGCAUUUUGUUAGUUCUGGCCAUAUUGGAACUAUUAGCACCCUAAUUUUCUUUUGAAGCUCCUUUUCUGUCGAAACCUAUUUUAAUUUCCAAAAUAUUUUUUUUUCAUUUUUUUAGUUUCUUUCUGAUAAAAAAAAAAUCAGUUUCUUAAACAACUCCAACUACAAAUAUUGUUUUACAAAUUUUUGAAUUAUUAAAUCAUAUGUGUGUGUAUAAAUUGAAUAGAAUUAAAAAAGUGGACUCAAAUGGGUAUUGUGUAAUUUUUUUUAUAAUUAAAGAAAAGUUUAGAAUGCAAAAGAGUGUGAGAAAACAAAAAAUAUAAAUCACCUUUGAUGUAGUUGUAUGGUUGUAAAGAGUUAGAUGGAGAAAUAUAGUAUAUAAUUAAAUUUAUUUUGUUCUUUAAAACGGAUAGGUUUUAUACGAAUUUUUCAGAGGAGUGCCAAUAUUUCAACUCUAUCAUUGCUAUUAGUUUGUCUUGUAAUUCAAUCAUUGCCGACAAGUAUUAAUUGUGACUAUUAUUAUUAUUAUCGUCGUUAUUCUUAACAGCAAUGACUAGAAUUAUAAUAAUAACAAUAACAAUAACAAUAACAAUAACAAUAACGUCAAUACAAUAAUAUGGGUCCGCCUAUGUUGCCACUUAUGUAUGUUGCUACAGCUUUUGUCUUUUGUGAUCAGUUAUUGUAACAUCUCAUUGAGUCCCUUACACUCUAUUUUAUUUACAAUUUAUUUAUAAGUAUUAUGAUUUUUUUAUUUACCUACACUUUUAAAAUUUAAAUUUUCACUUCACACUAUUUUUUAUUUACCAUUUUUUAUAAGUAUUAAAGGAGUUUUCGUUUUCAACCACAAAACAAUAAUCAUCAUAACACAUUAUUAUCAAUAAAAAAAAUAAAAUACCCUUAAAUUAGUACUAAAAGAAACUCUUUUCUCUCUUGGAGGAAUCACAAUAGCUCAUCUUCCAUCACUUAUCAUCAAUAAAAUUUUCAAGGAUAUAAUCAAUCAUCUUCUUUACUAUAUCAUCUCAUAAUAAUUAAGACUUUAAUGAUAAAAGAAUUAACAAAAUAAAAAAAAAUUUCCCGUGAAUCCAUCCCUCUCCACUAUCAAUUUCUCUUCAUCAGCAACUUUUAUCAACAAUUGAAGCCACUAUUAGAACUCACCACAAAGAGAGAGUAUGGGAGGGGAAGAAGAAACGGGUAAAAAUAUAUGAAAUGUUUUCAAUUUUAUGAUACGUUUACUAAAUAAGAAUCAUAAUUAGAUAGAAUCAUAGUAAGUUGAAAUUAAAAUGAGCAGGAAUCAAAAUAAGAAAUUGUAAUUAGAAUAAAUUAUUUAUUUGAACUAUAGAAAUAGUAAUUGGAAUAAGCUAUAUUACAAUUAAUGUAUUUACUUUGUUUUAAAAUCAUAAUCGAAAUAAGUUAAGUUGUAACAAACUACCAUAAAGUACUUAAUUAAUUAUUAUCAUAAUUAUUACUUUGUAUUUUAAUUAUUGUGAUUAUUAUUAUUAAAAAAUUUAAUAAUUAUUGCUAACUAUUAUUAUUAACAAUAUAACUCAAAAAUUAUUAGUUAUUGUUAAUAUAUUAAUUAAUUAUAAAACUUUUAUCAUUAAUAAUAAUAAUAAUAAUCCAUUUAAAUAAUAAUAUUAAUUAUUAAUUAUUGUUAAUAUAUUAAUUAAUUAUAAAACUUUCAUCGUUAAUAAUAAUAAUCUAUUUAAAUAAUAAUAAUUAUUAAUUAUUGUUAAUAUAUUAAUUAAUUAUAAGCUUUUAUCGUUAAUAGUAAUAAUAAUAAUAAUCCAUUUAAGAAAAUAACAAUAAUAAUAAAAAAAUUGUCAUCAUCAUCAACGGCAACAAAAAAUGGGAAUCGGUGGCGGCAUCAUCAUCCACAACGUCGGCAUCAUCAUCAUCAUCUUGAAGACGGUCGGUAAAGACGAAGACGACGACGAGAAGGAGAGGUGGAGAUUUGCUCUUUGAAGAUGGUGAUGAGGUCGUUACCUGCAGGGGACUAAAUCAUGGACGGUGAAGACCAAUGACAACCAGCGAGCUAGAACCGAUCCUAGUGCUGUGCUUCUUCUUGGAUGCAACUAAAAAAUUCUUCCUCUUGGCUGCGAUGGAGGGUCGAAACGUUGGAUGUGUUUGUUAUUUUUUUAAUUUUGCUGGCUGUGUUUUCUAAUUAACUGUGGCGUAUUUUGAGAAUUUAAAAAGCUUGAAGGAGUAAAUUUGGUACUUUUAGGGGCUCAAUCAAAUAAAAUAGAGUGCAAAGGGUUCCAUGAAAUUUUAGAAUAAUUAAGUCACAAAAGACAAAAGCUGUUGUAACGUACAACAGUGGCAACAUAGGCGGACCCCAAUAAUAUAACAACAUAAUAAUAUUUUAAUUGGGGUCUUCCACCUGGGUAUGCAUGAUUCCUUGUGACAUGUGCCAAUUAAAUUCUGACAUACGUGCAAUAAAGACUGUAAAGUGACCGGUUAUUCCGAUUGAAUUCACAAGAGCUCUUGUUUGUGUGUUUGUGUUCCAAGUUGUGUACUCUGUGUUACGAGUUCUCUAAUUAAUCUGAUAUUAUCGCAACUGUUGCUCAAUAAUGUUACAUGCAUUAUAAUAUAUGUCACUGGUACGGUCGCUGUCUCAAGUGGUAAACAUUAAGGCACAAAUUUAGAAUGAAAAGUUUCCCAGUAAAAUAAGUUAUUUAAUUAAUUAAAUAAGAAUAAAAUGAAUUUGUGAAAGAAAUUUAAAUUUAAUUUUGAAUUAUUUUGACCAAAAUUUAAGUUUCUUUUUAAUUUGUUUAAGAAAGUGCGUUGUAAUUAUCUUGUUUUAAUUGGAAAAUCAAUGAAAAAAUUAUGUAACAGGAAACAAAAAAAAAAAAAACAAAACAAAACGGUUUGUUUUGGAUGGAGGCCAUAGAUUCCAAUAUUUCCUUCACGAAAACUACAAAAAAUUAUCAAAGGCAUCAAUUUCUACACUCUCACCGAGCAAAUACUCUCAACCCAGAAGAAAGUGUAUAAACCAACCCCAAUUAGUCCAUCAAUGUCGUCAACCUCAUACAACACAAAAAAAUAUGUGUCCAUUAAACCGCCAUCUUGCCAUCUCGUUGUAGUAUUUUGCUGUUCAAAUCUAGUUAUUAAUUGGGGAAAAUGGGGACCAAUCUGCAAGUCUUUAAAAUAGAAAGAAACUUUAAUUGAGCACUAUGUUCACAGUGGUGGACCCAGCGGCAGUAAUCUUUAAGGUGGAGCUAUUUAUACUUUAAAAAUUAUUUUAAACACUCUAAUUUUAAUAAGAAUAUGUAUUGCAAAAAUACUUAUCAUAUAAGUUACUGUUAAGGACAAUAUAUUAUAAGUCAACAUUAUAUAAUUACUUUGAACACUUAUAUAGCACAAUCCUUAUUCAAUUUAUUAUUCUCAUGACUUAAAUAUAAAAAAUUUUAUUUUCAACAUCUUAAUUAAUAUGUAGGUGAAUAAUAAGGAAAUUAACUUUGAGAAAAAAAAUUAAAUACAAAAUAUGUGUAAUACUUUUAAAAAAUAAAAUAAAACAACAGUAUUGCACAAGAUUUUUUUUUGGGGGGGGGGGGGGGGGCUUUGGCCAUUCUUCUUCUUCUCCUUCUCUCUCUCUCUUUUUUUUGGGUAGUAUUUAUGGAACAUUUUCUAUAGUUAUGUUCUCAUCGCAAGUUAUUUUGGGUGCAAAAUUCAAUAUUGAAAAUAAAUUAAAUAAAAAAUUAGUAACUAAAAUUAUGUUAAAUUAUUUUUUUACAACUUAAUUUUUAAUUAUAUUAUUGUGAGUAUAUGCUAAAUCUCUUAAAAAUAGAGUGUUGAAUAAUUUUAUUAGUUUUUUAAAUAAAUAAAGCUAAGUAACUUAAAAAGUUUAAGUAAGGAUAUUUUUGAAUUUUAAACAGUGUACAAAGUAAAAUUUAAUUUUUUUUAUAAUUAAGCUACGAGCGUGUAAAUUAAUAGAGUGCUCAAAAUAAUAUUUAGAGUGCUAAUAGUCAUAUCCUAAUAUUUAUCAUCACAUUAUUUUCCAUAAAAAGUUUACAACUACCUCUUUAUUGGAUAAUUUUGUUCCCUCUCUUACCUUAUGUUCCCCUACAUUCUCAUUUCUGCAUCACUAUUUAAAUUGUAAUCAUAACGUUAAUCUUUCGUGUCCUUUCGUUUUUUUCGAGUUUACUUUUGCUUUUUUUUUUUUUUACGUUUCUCCGGAAUUCACUUCAACAUCACUGGCGCGUUUUCUUCUUUCUCACUGCAACAUCAACUGGGCCACCACCUCUUGCCUCAAUAUACGUUGUGAUCUCAUCAUCUUGACAUUAUUUGUUAAAAAUUAUGUCAAAGAGGGAAAGCAUAUUCAAACAUUACUUCAAUUUUCUUUAAGAGCAUAAAAAAAUCGUUAAUAGGCUACUGUUAUUUGUUAGUACGAUUUCACAAAAGGAAGCUAGAGGAAGAUGAAGCUUUCAAGUCAUGUGUGCAUCAAAGUAAGAAACAGAGCUAAUGGGAAAUUUUCAUAAGAGUGCCAAUAUUUCAACUCUUUUUCAAAUGAAGUGAUGUCCUGGAAUAAAGGACUUGACUAGCUUACAGAUUCUGUAAGCUACAGACUGCAGCAUCAGCCGUUGGAUGUGGAGUGAGAAACUAAACAAUAGAAAAUCGGAUGGUGGGAUGACGGGAGAUGUUUGUUACAGAAUCUGUACCAUAGACAGGUCCUGGAAUAAAAUCACUACUCUAUCAUUGCUAUUAGUUUGUCUUGUAAUUCAAUCAUUGCCGACAAGUAUUAAUUGUGAAUAUUAUUAUUUUAAAAAUAUUAUUAUUAUUAUCGUCGUUAUUCUUAACAGCAAUGACUAGAAUUAUAAUAAUAACAAUAACGUUAAUACAAUAAUAUUACAACAUAAUAAUAUUUUAAUUGAGAGGAUAAGAAUGAAAUUAUGAAAUUUAGGUUGGGUAAAAAUGGUGAGUAUGAGGAAAUUAAUUUACCAUUUUUUAAGCUAAACAAUUUAUAAAUUCCACAUAUUUCAUUUUUAUUUCUCUUAUAUUUUAACAAAUAAACACUAUCAAUCGUUUUAAUAUUUUAAUUAAUAAACACGGCAUUAACUACGGAACUAAAAGAUCCCCCCAAAAAAAAAAAAACAGAGACGCGUGUAUGUAUUGCUUGUGACAAAUCUCACCCAUGGAAAACUUUGUGAAAGGCAUUUGAAUGUGUGGCCACAUUUAAUGAACGAAACGUUAACUUUAAAAGAAAGUAUGUACUGUGUUAAUUAUUAGGAUUACCCAAUAACCCGCUUAAUAUCUAUAUAUUAAACAAAAGUUACAUUAAAUAUUUAUACUUUGUCAUACAUAUGUAUGCACAUACAUACAUACAUACAUACAUACAUCCAAACAUACAUACAUAAUUUAUCAAUAUUAUAAAAUAUACAUAUCUACUAAAAUAUUACACACACUAUUGAGGUUUUAAUUAUAUGUAUGUAAAUAAUAUUAUAUAUCAAUAUUAUAAAAUAUACAUGUCUACCAAUAUUUUAUACAUUUACGCUAUUAAAGCUCUAAAUGUAUUUAAAAUUUUAUAAAUAAAAUAUUGUGUCUAUAUUCAUCUUUUUAAAGAAUUAAAAAAAUCAUCUCUAAUAUUUGAGUUUUGAUGACAAGAAUCUGUAAAUUAUUUUAAAAUAGAAAAUAUAAUCGGGUCAUUGAUCGGGUAAAUGGGUCAAGAAUUUUAACCCUAAUCCGACACGAAAAAAAAUCGUGUUGACCCGGACCCGACCCAUUUAAUAAUCGUGUUAAAUUCGAUGACCCAUACUUAUUUAUUGGUGUCAUGUUCGUAUCGAGUAAUCGGAUCGUGUCAAAUUUUACCAGCUCUAACUAUAGUGAUUCCACUUAAAAAUGAAAGGGGAGGCGACGAAAAGGUGAUAAAAAGCGGUAUUGUGUUCUUUUUUUUUUUAAUAUAAAUUUACUGGAAUGAUGAAAUAUUUAAUUGAAUAAUAUUAAAAAAGAGAAAAGGAGAGAGAAUUUUGAGCUCUCUCUACCGAGCCCACUCCCUCUCUUCUUUUUCAACGCAUUUUCUCUCGUCUUUAUCUCUCUUUAGCAUUUUUCUAUUUAAUUACGUGAAAUUGACUCUAAGAUAGACCGACGUUUGCUUUCAUAAUGGAAAGUAGAAAGUCGAAAAGAAACCACCCAUGCCAUGCGUGUGGACCAUUACUCUCAUUUGGAGGCUAUCAUAAGUGAGCAAGUACAAAUUAUGUUACUGUGGGGUCUCACUUAAAUGAACUCAUCCAUCGUGCGCUGGUCCAAUCCUUGGCAACAUCCCAUGUGACUUUUUCGGUUUUCCCCCCACUUUUCUUCACAAGGGUAGUUCCGAAUUUUCACUUCCCCUCAAUUCCAAUUCAGUGGCGAAAUUAGAUUUUCAUUUCAAGUUUUCAACCCAGGGCCAAGCUAUAAUAAUAUACUUCAAUAAUUUGUAUUCGUCGGAAGUUCGGAACCAAUGCUAAACUUUUUUAGUUAUAUAUAUAUAUAUAUAUAUAUUGUAAGAGGCUAAUAUGAACAUUACUAUUGUUAUAAGAGUAUAGAAAACGACGAAUAUUACUUAUUUUUUUUGUAGUUAAUAAGAAUUAUUUAAAAUUAUCCAAGCUCAAAAUUUAGAAUCAUGAGAGUGUGACUUGUAAGUUUCAAAGAAGCAUGUGUAAAUAUAUGCAUUAUCGAUGCCCAAUUAAGGGUGGGCAUUAAGAUCGGGUUAACCCGAACCGAACUUAAAAUUUAUUUUGGAUUCAAUUUGGUUAUGGUUGAAGCUUUCAACUGAGUUCAAAACUUAAAAAUGAUUGGGUUGUAUUUCUGUUCGAAUUUAACCCCAAAAGACUAAUCAAUCCAAUCGAGUUAAGUAAGCAAAUUAAGAAAAAAAAUCCCAAAAAUUAAAACUAACCCUAACUAAAAUAUUCGACGGCGGCCUCCUCGUUUUCUUUUCUUCUUCCUCCUCUCGCUCACCCCUAAUGCCCUUCAUGGAAAUCCAACAGCUCCAAACGCGUUUCAGCCGCUCGCACGUGUGAGAAAUUUUCCUUCUCAUAGGGUUAUUCGUUUCCUUCGUUUGCAUGCUAGCAGAAAAUUCAGGCCGAGGAUUUUUCCGGGCCUAGCCCAACUAUAAGCUCUCCCAAAACCCAAUCAUAAGUUCAAAACGUUUAGCGUUUGCUAUUACUAUAAUUUUUUUAACCAAUUUUCACAUUCAUCAACAUAGGCUGACAGAUUUUGUAGAAAAUAAAAUUAAAUAAAAAUACAAGCUCGCGAAAUUCCUUUGCCGAGCAUGAGUGAAGAAAAAUUAAAAAUAAAUAAUUUCCCAUUAAUUUGCAACAAGUAGUAAUAAAGUAAAUAACUCUUUUCAUCAUUUUGCCAGAGCGAAUGUAUCUACAUAUAAACUAAAGAAGCACAUUUGUUUGUAUUAGCUUUUUUAUUGUAUUUUUAAUAAUAAGUCAUUUGUCAAUGGACUUAUAUCAAUUUUUACGAAAAUAAUAGGUGUUAGUUAGAUUAUUCAAAUGGCAAAACCUCUUGGGAUAGAGCUUGUAAUGUAGUGGCUCAUGAAUUGUCUAAAUUGACACUACCGAAUUAUUGUAUUUGGUUAAAAAAGCUCCUACUCUGCUUCAACUUUAGUAUCCUAUGAUGUUUAUUAAUAAAUAACAAUUUUAUUGAAAAAAAGACCUCUUGAAAUGAUACAAAAGAUUUGGGAUAUGAAUCUCACUCGAAUUUAGCUUGAGGUUGGCAUUGUUAGCAUAAUAUUUGAAGAUAGAUUUUUUUUAAAUUAAAAAUCAAAAGAUUUUUUUUUUUUUGGGGUUCAUACUAGUUAGUUUUAACUCAUAGUGAGAUUUAAACAAAAACGGAAUAAUAAAUCUUGAUAUCCUGACUCAUGGAUAACGUAUAGAUAAGAUAGUAAAAUUUAUUGUGUCGAAAAUAAGAGGUCUGAAGUUUGAAUUUCGCUCACAUAGGUAGUAAGAGAAUCAAAUUAUUGAUAGAUUAAAUUAAUUAAAAAAAUUUCUGAUAUCCAAAACAACAUAUCAACAAAAUUGAAAUAAAAGAAAAUUGAAGAGAAAAACCAUUGAGAGAACGAAAAAUUAACACAAGAAAAUUUCUGUAACUAAUUGUAUCAGUGUGCGCCAACUUCACUUAUUAAAACAUGGUUAUUUCAUUUUCAUGGAUAAUCAUUUUGACACCGGUCAAAUUUAAAAGUUUUAAAAAAUAUGGGCGAUUUUUCUUUCCAGCUAUUCCCAUUAACUAAUAAAAGAACCGUCGAAAGGGUUCGGGGAUAAUAUAGUAAUUUAAACUAACAGUUUCUGUGCUUCAAAUUUAUAUAUAUAUAUAAAGUUGUGAUUACAAGAGGUGAUGUGGCAUCACUAUUUCUCAUCUUCUCAUAUUCUCUAUUAUCUAAUAAAUUGGUUGAAAUUAAAAAAUAAUUACAUUACAAAAUAUUAAAAAUAGAAAAUAAUUAUUAGAUUAUAAAUGAUUACAUGUCUUUUCAUCUUUCUAUUUAAAUUCAACAAUAUGUAACCAUUAAUAAUAAUUAAUUAUAAGUCUUAAAACAUUCAUUUAUUUUAUUAUGCCAACAAUUAAAUUUUAGUGGCUUAAAAUACAUCAAUUAAUUAAUAUAGGAAGGAAGAGAGGUUCUUUCAUCUUCCCUCAAUAAUGCCACUAGGGUCUAAGUUUAAUUUUAAUAAUUUUAAUGUCUCUUCCUCUUUCUAUUUAAAUCCAACAAUGUGUAACCAUUAAUAAUAAUUAAUUAUAAGUCUUUUGAAACAUUCAUUUAUUUUAUUAUGCUAGCAAUUAAACUUUAGUGGCUUAAAAUACAUCAAUUAAUUAACAUAGGAAAAGAGGUUCUUUCAUCUUCCUUCAACAAUCCUAAUUUUAAUGCCAUAAUCCCAUAUUUAAUUAUGCAAUCUUUUAUUUAGUGCUUUUUGACUUCUUCAAAUUUUAUUAUGCUAGCAAUUAAACUUUAGUGGCUUAAAAUACAUUAAUUAAUUAACAUAGGAAGAUAAGUUCUUUUAUCUUCCCUCAACAAUGCCACUAGGGCCUAAUUCUUCUUAUUCUAAAUUUAAAUUUCAUUUGCUUGCUAUCAUCAGCAACACAAGUCAAUUAUGAUGCAACUGCCAUUAUAAUUAAUGGAGAACGACGAGUUAUCUUCUCUGGUGCAGUUCACUAUAUCCUCGCAGCACUCCACAAGUACUACAUGCAAAUAAUUAAUUUACAAUUUCUGAAAUCACUUGCACUUUCACAUUUUCUUCUUCUUUUAACCAAAAAAAAAAAAGGCUACUUUGCUGCGAAAAUAUUAUCUUAAUUUUUUUUCCUAACAAGCCAAACAUGAUCCCACAUUCAAAACGGUGCGCUUUCAUGUUUAGGAAAAAUCAUGGGCAAUAUUUUUGGAUCAAAUAGCAUUGUUAUUUUUUAAAUAUGCAAAUUUUGAUAUGAUUUAUUUCUAUAUGCGUUGUAUUUGUGCAGAUGUGGCCAGAUCUUAUACAGAAGGCAAAGGGUGGACGGCUCGAUGCAAUUGAAACUUAUAUUUUGUGGAAUGCUCAUGAGUCUCAGCGUCGCCAGGUGUCAACUAUUAUUAUUAUUAUUAUGUGCGAUAUUUAUUAUUAUUGAAAUAGACAUACAAAAUUAAUUUAUUUAAUCUUUCUUUUAAGAAGAGAUCAGUACGAUUUCUCAAGAAAUUUAAAUUUUAUCAAAUUUUUAAUUUUUAAUUUGAUAUUUUCAAAGCCGCGCUAAGCGCGGUUAUAUUUUCUAAUCAUCAAAUCAAACUCACACCUCACAAAAGCAGAGAAAUCAAACGGUUUCCGACUUUACGCUUUAAAUUCAGCUUCAUUUCUUCAACUGAAGAAUCGGUCGUCUCUCAUUUUUUAUUUAUUAUAUAAAGAGAAAUAUAUAAAUUUAAAUGGCGAGAAGAGCGGACGAGGAAUACGAUUACUUGUUCAAAGUGGUAUUAAUCGGCGAUUCGGGAGUCGGCAAAUCGAACUUACUCUCCCGAUUUUCUGGUAACGAGUUCUGUUUGGAGUCCAAAUCCACUAUUGGCGUCGAAUUCACCACCCGCACUCUUCAAGUAACUAACUUUUCCUCUUUCACUUCUCUUCAUUUUUAUUAGUUAAUUAAGAUCCAGUUAAUGUAAUUAAUUUUAUUUAAUCUUUUAAUUAAAGUUCUAGAUUAGGCUAACUUAGAUUCAUGUCAAGUUGAAGUGCUUUACUUUCGAUCUCUUUUUCGUCCUAUGUUUAUUUGUACUUACUAUUACUUUGUUUUUGGGUUUAAAUUUUCGUUUUUGAAGUGUUUACUGAAUAAAUUUCUGAGCUUUAUUUGUGUAUGAUAAUUGAUUUGUGAUUUUAAUUUUGUGACUUUUUUUUUUUUGGAAUUUAAAUUUGAAUGCUUUUUAAGUUGAAUCUGAAUGUGUUGGGCUGCAAUUUAAUUAAGUCAUCUGUGAGCGCCAAAUUGUGAUAGCUAUAUAUUGGGGUGAAAAUUUGGGAUUUAAAGUUAUGUAUUUAAGAUGCAGUUAAUUCGCAAGUGAAAAUUAUGGGCCGGCAGAUUUUGUCAUUGGAAGACUGUUCUCCACAUGUUGAAGUUGGAAGACUGUUCUCAUUGAAUUUAUGUUAAAAAGCUAUGCGCGCAUUAAGUUAGUGCGAGAAACUGCUGAAGCAUAUGUCAGCUGUGUGUUUGGAGCUGAGUAUUCUUCAUUCCAAAUUUUUGGUUUUGGUUGACCUCCACCAUGACUCAACCCACUUGAGUUAAAAUCCCUAGAGUUACAUUCUACCCAUGAUAUUUGAGAUCAGGUCACCGUAUUUUAAUACUUCUCUGGAAAACAAAUAAAUAUGUUAAAUCAGGUAGGAAAAAGAAAAAGUUAAUUAUUGAGUUGUAAUGGUGCAACUAAUGUUUUGAAAAGAUGGGGCACAGGUUACAAAAUUUUUUUGAGUUUUGGAUUAAAGGAACAAAAUUAUUGAUGUCUAGCUCACAAUACUUGAAGUCACUCUGUGCUUCAUCAUGUAAAAUGGAUUGAAUUGCUGUAAGAUCAGGUCAAAUUAAAAUGUUUAAACUCAUUUAUAAGAAAUGAAUUCUCAAUUGGACUAGUCUUUCACAGAAACUGAUAUCACAGAAGUUUUGAGUCAGAUGCAUCCAACCAAAGCCCCUGGCCCAAAUGGUCUCCCAGCAGUAUUUUUCCAAAAGCUUUGGAAUUCAGCAAGCAAAGGAGUUAUAGCCACUUGUCUGCAUAUCCUCAAUGAUGGAGGUAAUAUUGCUCCUUUGGAUCAUACAUACAUUGCUUUAAUUCCCAAAAUAGCAAAGCCUAGGACUGUGAUGGAGUAUAGACUAAUCAGCUUAUGUAAUGUAAUUUAUAAGAUCAUUGCAAAGACUAUAGUGAAUAGGGUGAAGCUAAUCUUAGAUCAUGUUAUUUCACCAACUCAAAGUGCUUUCAUGCCAAAUAGGCUCAUAACUAAUAAUAUAAUUAUUGGGUAUGUGUGUCUUUAUAAGAUUCAGCAUUGCAAAAACAAAAAGCAUGGUCUAGUGGCUUUGAAAUUAGACAUUAGCAAAGCAUAUGACAUAGUAGAGUGGGAGUUUGUAAGAUGCACUAUGGAAAGGUUGGGUUUUUCUCACAAAUGGGUGGAACUGGUCAUGAGAUGCAUAUCUGCACCAUCUUUUUCUAUGCUGAUCAAUGGGGUAGCAAAAGGCCUUAUCCAGCCUCAAAGAGGCUUAAGACAAGGCUGCCCACUCUCUCUAUAUUUGUUCAUUAUUUGUGCUGAGGUUUUCACAAAUAUUUUGAAGCAAGUUGAAUUGAACCAGCUGAUUCAUGGAUUAAAAUUCAAUAGGGACCUGCCUAUUACUCAUCUUCUGUUUGCAGAUGAUAGUUUGGUUUUCACAAGAGCCACUAAAGAAGAUUGUACGAACCUGAAGUAACUCUUUGAUUGUUAUGCUGCUGCCUCAGGCCAGAUUUUUAAUUUUGAAAAGUCCUCCAUGUUCUUCAGCGAUAAUCCCAAGCAAGAGCAGAUAGCUACAAUUAAGGAUAUAUUUCAACUUCAAGUGGUUUCAAGACAUGAAAGGUAUCUUGGACUACCUUCAAUGGUGGGAAGAAAUAAGACCAGCUUCUUAAACGAUAUCAAGCUUAGAAUUAUAAACAAAAUCUCCAAUUGGCAAGCAAAAUUUUUCUCAUGUGGAGGGAAGGAGAUACUCAUAAAGGUAGUAGCUCAAGCAGUGCCUGCUUACGCCAUGAGUAUUUUUAAACUUCCUUUAGGGCUAUGUGAGGAUAUACAGAAGGCCAUUGCUGGGUUUUGGUGGAGAAGUUCAAGGAAGCAUAUGUCUAUUCACUGGUCCAAGUGGGAAAGAAUGUGUCAAGCUAAGAAGAGGGUUGGCUUGGGUUUCUGAGACUUGUCUAGUUUCAACCAAGUGCUUGUGGCAAAACAGAGUUGGAGGAUCAUUCAAGCGCCAAAAUCUCUCAUAGCUAAGGUGAUGGAGGCAAGAUAUUUCAAACAUUCGGAUUUUAUGGAGGCACAAAUUGGCUCAAACCCUUCUUAUAUGUGGAGGAGCAUCCUGUGGGGGUGAGAUGUUAUUCAUAAGGGUCUUAGAUGAAGAAUCAGAGAUGGAAAGUAGGUGAAAGUGUAUCAAAGUGACUGGUUACCAAGACCUGUAACGUUCAAACCAAUAUCUCCUACAAGUCUCCCUUUGGAGACUAUGGUUUCAGAGUUGAUUGAUCAAGACCACUACUGGAAAGAUCUUGUAAUAAGACAACAUUUUCAUCAAGAAGAUGCUGCCCAGAUACUUAAGAUCCCUCUGCCAAGACAACCAAGACCAGACCAAGUUUUGUGGCAUUGCGACAAAAAGGGUUACUACUCAGUCAAGAGUGGGUAUCAACUAGCUCUACAAAUGAAGUUUCCAACCAAGCCUAGCAGUUCAUAGGAAGGCAAAAGUGCAUGGAACUCAAUUUGGUAUUUGUCAAUUCCAGAGAAAGUAAAGAUAUUUAUGUGGCUGGCUGCAUAUGACAUGCUGCCCACAGCAGAGAAUUUAUGGAAGAAAAUAAUAUUACAAGCCCCCUGGUGUCAGAGAUGCAGGAGUUAUGGAGAGUCUAUCUUCCACACAUUGUUUGAAAGUAAAGCCUUGCGGAAAAUUUGGAAGCUCACAUCUUUUAAAGAUAAAGUGAAAGCCCCAAAAUGUAAAGAUGUCCUAAGCUUGCUGUUGGCUUUGGCUGAUCGACGAAGCAAGACUGAAAUGGAGCUGAUAGUUGUUUUGUGCUGGAGCAUAUGGCACUCAAGGAAUCUUUUUAUUUUCAAAAGCAGAAAUGAAGAUUCCCAAUUAUCAGUAGUUGGAGCUGAGGCAAUUGUUAAGUCUUAUAAAAGAAUUCAAAUGCCACAGAUGCAAGCAAUAUCAGAUCAAAGUUCUGCAUCCCAGAAGUAUUGGAAGUGUCCCCCUGCAAGUUGGUUCAAGGUGAAUGUUGAUGCAGCUAUAAAGAUAGACCAACAAAGAGUAAGUCUGGGCAUUGUAAUCAAAAAUUCAGAAGGUAAACUUAUAGCAGCAACCUUAAAGCCAACGAAAUGGCUUGAUAAAGUGGAUCUGAAGCAACUAAGUUUGGGCUGGAAGUAGCUGAAAACGCUGGAUGGUUACCUUUGAUUGUUGAGAUUGAUUCACAGGUAGUAGUAGAUUUAGUCUUAGGUAGAAAAAUCACAAAGGCUGAGAUUUUUGGGUUUGUAUCCAAGGUCCAAGAGAUGAUGAAGAGAUUAAAACAUGUCAAGUUACAACACACACCAAGAACUUGUAAUGGUUUUACUCACACACUUGCUAAGUUAGUUUUAGACUAUUUUGAUUAUCUGAUUUUGUACUAUGGGUGAAUAACAUACCAGCCCAUCUUUUGUAUCUAUUCACAAAAUUGAAUGAUUGAAAAUGAUACUUUGAUUUCAAAAAAAAUAAAAUACAAAGAGCUAAUUAUAAAUACAUAAUCCAAGAAAACAGUAAUAAUAAUUUAUCUCGUAAACAAAAUUAAAUAAUAGCAAUAAUAAGUGGAUAAAGCUAAGUUCGAGAGGUGAGAUAGGAAAUUCUCCCGCACGACACAGCACAAACAAACUUUCCCUUUCAUUUUCUUUUCUCUUUCUCGCUAUCCAAACAGAGCAAAAGGACCGUCGCAAGAUUCUUCACUUCCAUCCAAAAUCACGAGCAACGAAUAGCGAGCCUCCCUGUUUCCUUCCUUUUUUUGAUAUUAACAUUGUUAACAUCUGCUCAUUUUCAUUUGACAAUACUUCAAUUUUUUUUUUUUUUGCCUUUUCAUAUUUUUUUGGUUGAAGCGAUUAUCUGUUCAAGCUGUUGCUUAUCGGAGACUCGUCAGUCGGAAAGUCCUGCCUGCUGCUCCGAUUUGCUGUCUGUUGACUUUUCCUUUCCAUUUUUAUUUUCUUUUUUUUUUAUAUUAAUUACUUUCUAUUUUAGCUUUUUGUUCUCUGAAUUUGUGUUAUUAAAAUGAUAAUUUAGAUGAUAAAUAAUUAUUAUUCUUGUAAAUUUCAGUUUUCAUUACAUUAAAUAAUGUAAUUUUUUUUUCAAUUUUUCAGGAUGAUUCUUAUGUCACAGCUACAUCAGUACCAUUGGAGUUGAUUUUGUAAGUCUCUCUUCUAUAUAUAUGUAAUUAUGUGUAUAAGUUAUAAUAUGAGUCUCUGUACGUGUAUGUAUGUAUGUGUAUGCAUAUGUGGAAAGAAAUGUUGGCAGACUUCGGCAUUUUACUUUUUUUUUUUUAAAGGGAAAUUAUCACCGGUAUACCCUUAAAUGUCACCGGUAUCAAACGUACUACAACACUUUUCGCUUAUAUCACUCGUAUACCCUAAGUUGACAAAAGAGUUCUGGCGUCCACCUUUCCGUUUACUACCGUUAAGAACUUAACAGAAUUUGAGCAAAAUGACUAUUUUACCCUUUAAACUAAAAUGAGGUAAAAAAACAAUUUUGCCUUGAAAAUUAAUGUAAAUUUUCAAUACACAAAAUUUUUUUAUUUUGUUAUUAACAAUACAUUUUUUUAUUAAAAAAAUAUGAAUUAUUAAUGGUAUAUAUUAUUAACAAUUAUCCAUAAAAAACUUCAUCUUAUACCAUAAAACAUUAUUAACAACAUAUUAUUUAUAAUUAUACAUAUUAUAACAUAAAAAAUUCAAGUUGGAUCUUGGAGGAGUAGAUCUUUAAUAAUUUAGGUUAAAUUUUGGAGGAGUAGAUUUGGUUGUAAAGUAGUUUUUUUUUUUUAGCAAUUAUUAACAAUUAUCUGAUAAAUGGGAUGACAUGUCAUUUUUAUCAAAAUAUAUCAUAUGACAUGUCGUUUUUUACUAUAUAAAUGGGAUGACAUGUCGUUUUUAAAAAAAGACUAGAUUACCCUUAUGAUGUCAGCGCUCGCAAACGGCAGUUAACGGAUCGGUGGACGGCAGAAGUGUUUUGUCAACUUAGGGUAUACGAGUGACACACUUGAAAAGUGUUGUAGCACGUUUGAUACUGGUGUCAUUUAAGGGUAUAUGACUGAUAAUUUCCCUUUUUUAAAUUUUGGCAGAAAAUAAGAACUGUGGAGCUGGAUGGGAAGACGAUCAAACUGCUGAUUGUGAGUCAAAAUUUCCUUUUAUCUUGUAUUGGGAGAAAUUCAAUUUGUCUUAUUUAGUGAAGGUUAUGUUCAAGAACCUUGCCUUAUUUUCUUUAUUUGAAGAGUGAUAAGUUGAAAUGAGUGUAUUUUUCUUAUAAACAUCAUUUAGGUAAUGUCUGAUGUUUGAUUGUUUUUCAUCUGUUUAGUGGGACGCUGCUGGACAGGAGCGAUUCAGGACUAUAACUAGCAGUUAUUACCGAGGAGCCCAUGGAAUCAUAGUAAGAAGCCUUCCUGCUUCUUGGUUUAAAUCAGAAAGUUUGUGAUUUACAUGUGACAUCUUAACAACGUUGUAUGUGUUUAUUAACUUAUUUUUCAUCUUUCAUUACGCAGUACAUUUUCCAAUAAAUCUGUAUACAAGAUGAUGUAGUCCAAGAAUGGGAGUGAUAAUAUGAUGCAAAUUGUCUAAUAAAUUCUUAUGACAUAUGAUGUUGUCGGAAGUAAAAGUCUUGCAAUGCUGUAUUCUCUUUUAAGAAAGAAUAAGUGGUAAUUUUGUUUUUCCAAUUUUUUAAUUGAGCAACUGUGUGAGAUUAAUUAAAUGUGUUGGGAUUUCAACAGAUUGUCUAUGAUGUAACGGAGAUGGAGAGCUUCAAUAAUGUCGAGCAGUGGUUGAAUAAGAUUGACAGAUACGCUAAUGACAGUGUAUGCAAGCUUCUAGUUGGGAACAAAUGCGAUUUAGUUGAGAACAAGGUUGUGGACACAUAGACAGCCAAGGUAUGUUCGUGAGUUCUGUCGCCUGAACUUUGAAUAUAAUUUUAAACUCUUCUCAAGUGCAUUUGCUUGAUAAGUUUCUGCAUACCCAGGACACUUAAACUUUGGACAGUCUGUAUCUCGAGCUGGAAUCUUUUUUGUCAAUACGACUUGUUAAAAUAAGGGUUAUUAUCGUUUGAAUCCUUCAAGAAUUGCAAUAAAUCUAAAGUCAAUUAAAAAUAUGAUUUCAUCAUUUUACUGUUAUAUCUAGACAAAAUCCAUUAUUUUACUACAUUUUAUUAGCACCGAUAGUUGACCUAUUGGCUGACUGAUAAAAUAUCAAUUUUGUACUUUAUAUUAAUUCUUUUUUGGUUAGAAAAUAACACACAAAGUAUUACAAUAUUAUAAAUUCAAAAUAGAAAGUAGUUACAAAUAAUUCCUAUUAGCCUAUGAAUAUAAUAUUUGAUACCUCUAUUUGUGUAAUUUUUUUUAAAGGGUGAAAUUGGUAUUUUCUUUGUACUAACGGAAAUGUAGUAAAAUGAUAAGUUUUGUAAAGAUAUAGUAGUAAAAUGAUAGACUAAAAUACUUCUGUAGUUGUUUGAUAUAUUGUAAUUCUUAAAGUAGUCAAUUGAUAAUAUCUCCUAAAAUAAGUGUUUGUAAUAUUUUCUCAUUUUAAUGCAACUGAUUGUUUAAUAAAAUUGUAUUUCUUUGUUAAUCUUUUAUCAUGUGCAUGCUCAGUGAGAAUUUGACUUACUAGCACACAAGUUUGACUCUUCAUGUAAAUGUCCCUUGUAUCAUAUCCUUCAGUGUUGAGUGUGUUUCCAAUAAAACUGAGUAGGGGAAUCCUUAAAUACCUUUUCCCUUUUUCCAAGGGCCGUGCCAAAUUGCUCUAAGUGAUUAUCAAUGGAUAAUGAAAAUAAAAUUUUUAUUAAAGCAAUUUUUUCCUUAAAUGGUGGCUAAUAGUACCCCUUUUUUGGAAAAGAAAGUCAAAACAUGCCCAAAGAGAAUCAUUUACUUUCCUCUAAUGUAUUUUCUAAUUUGUUUCGAGCCUUGAAUGUUAACCUCUGUAAUUCAAUUUGAAACUUGCCACCCUUAGUGCUUCACUCAAAUGGUUGGUUAGGGUGAGAUCUUUAUCAUUUUCCUGGUCUCUUUCCAAGGUUAUCUAAAGGGAUUUGGCAGUCUGAUUCUUUAGGGAAUAUCAUUGCAUAAGAUAUUGUUUGUCAAUGAAUAAUUUCUAUUAAUUAGUUAUCUAUAUAAAUUGGUAAAUUUUAACUGCAUAAUUUGCAUGCAAUAAGAUUUUAUAAGAAUCUUGUUUUCAACUCAUGACUUAGACUAAUGUGAUAUGUUGAGCAUUAAGCUACAAGAUCUGCACAUCAAAGUGCUUCACGAUGUUAAGGAGAAAGCAUCUUUUUCUGCUUCUUCAUGUGAUUUAAAGUUUCCAAGGUACUUAUCCUAUAAAAUAUCUUUCAAGACUUUGGAAAUGCUUUUAUGUAUGACUGAGAGAAACUUGUUGGGUUGGUUUUUAGCAACGGACGGAGUUAUGGACUUUGUGCUGACUUGUUAUUGAUUAAGACAGUACAUCGGCUGAUCUAUUGGCAUCAAGCAGCAGAUGCAGAAAUUAUGGGUGGCAUAUCAUUGUAUCUAAGAAUAUUUAUCUCCGAGUGAAAUGCAGGCAUUUGCAGAUGAACUGUGGAUUCUUUUUCUGGAGACGAGUGCCAAAGAUGCAAUCAAUGUGGAGCAGGCUUUCUUGACCAUGGCUGGCGAGAUUAAGAAAAAGUAAAAUCACUUGACUCUUUCCUUCUUGCCUUGUGAUUGAUUCUGUGAUCCAUUGCCUAUUUGCAAAUGCUGACUGUUCUUAUUCAACAAUCACCAUUAUUGCUGGUUAUAUGCACGGUGAUGAAAAUUCUGCAAUGAGUAACUUUUUACCUAAUGUUUUCUGUUGGAACAAAUUACUCUGGUAGAAAAGCCCUACAGGGUUUGAGAAAACCCAUGAUGUGACGAUUGUGAGCAUUUUAGACACCGUGUAUGGGUUUAUUUAUGACUAUAAAAUGGUAAGAUUGUUUCUAGUUUUGGUUUGUAGUUCAUAAAAGGAUUCAAAAUUUGACAUCUGUCUAAAUCAGAUUAAUAACAUGAUAAUGUACAUAUGCAAGAUGUGAGGAAUUGUUUUAACUCACCCCUAAACUUUAAGAAAUUGAAACAUUAUCAUUCAAAAUAUUUAACAUUUCCAGAAUUGAUAGUUGUCUAUUUGAGCAGUGACUGGUGGUUAUCAUGAACUGAUGUGUGGUUGUGGUGUCAAAUCUUGGUGAAACCUGUUGUCAUCUGCCGGUUAACAUAAUAAUUUCUUGAUUCACUAAAUAUGAGUUCAAAUUUGAUGCAGAAUGGGCAACCAGCCUACUGCAAACAAAUCUUCUGGAACAGUUCAGAUGAAGGGACAGCCAAUCCAGCAAAACAGCAACUGCUGUGGUUAGCCGAGCAUCUUAUUUUACUUCUACAUGUUAGCUGACUGAUUGUAGACAGUUUUAACUAUGUUGACUGCAUUAUCUUAUGAAUCUUUUAAUCUGUCAGAUUUAUUUCCUGCUUUAAGUUCUUUCCGUUUAUAACAAAUUUAAUUUCAUGCUUCAUUGCAUUCCAAAUUCCUGUCAAUUUACGAGGGAAAAAGAAAAGAGAGACGAGAUCGGAGAAAAUGGUCAAAUUUGUUAGGGGGAGAGAGCUGUUCAAGUAGUUUUUAUUCUUGUUUAUUGUCGUGACCCUCUUGUAGCUUGUCUAUGACCUGGAAGUCCGGUCAUAUCGGAUGGGUAAAGUUACCAAAACGGCAUCAUUUUGGGUGAAAUAUCAUAUUUAUGUAACACUUUUGAUAAUAUUUUUGUGCAACAAAAAAAUGUUCGCGGUACCCUUUUCACAUUGUGUAGCGCAUGAUCGGAUGAGAGCAGUCUGGAUUGUGGCAUCACAAGCUAAUGCUUUGAUUUGCUUAGUUUGUUUUUUGUUUCUGAUUUUUUCUUGGCAUUGGGUGGCAUAUUAUUUCUCUUUUGAGUUUUCCUUUUUUUUUUUUUUUUUUUGUUAUGGAAUCUAGAGAUAGUGUACAUGUAUGAAGAUGACGUAAUAAAGUUAUUUGAUAAUCUCAAAAAAAAAAAUUCACUCUAAUAAAUCUCGUAGCAAGCACAUGGUUUAUAUUGCAAGUCUUUUCGAAACUAAUUCAAAGAGAAAAUAUAAUUGAUCUUUACUUGUCAUAAAGAAUUCUAAAUAAAUUCAUAUACGCAUCGCAGCUAAUUAGAGCCUCUAUACUUACAUUUGGUUUUUGUUACUUUUUUGUAGAGUUGUGCUGUGCAUAAAAGUUUUGUUAAAUGAAAUCGGUGGGUGAAGAGAAUUUUCAGAAGCAUACAUCAAAGUAAUGAUCAAUAUAAAUAUUGAUUGUCUCAAGUUAGAUUAUACAAAGAUGAAAUAAUGCUAAUCUAGUAAAUUCAAUCAUAAUAAUUUGACUUCCAUUAUAUUAAUUAUGUCCAAUCGUGCUACUUUAAUAAAGAACCCUCGAGCAUUUAUAUGUAUACAACAAACAAAAUUAAUUACAAAACGAUCUUUGACAAAGUCUGACCGGUCAACUAUCCACCAAAUUUUGUAAUAUGUUACCGUUGAACUCUCAUAUCAAAUAUGGAUAGACAGCGCUUUGGCUAACAGUGAAAUAUAUACGAGCAUAAGAGCUCCGUUCUCUGUUUUGAUGGUGUUUCUCUUUGUGGUUGUUGGACAAAUUGUAAUGUGAAUUUCUAUUUAAUGGGUAUCAUAAUACUUUUAGUUACUUUGGGAUUGUUGAUUUAUAUAUGACCUUCAGUAUCCAAAAUUCAGAUAAUGAUAACCUUUAGUACUCUUGUCAUAUUACCUUUCGUGUUGGUGUUAAUAUCUUAAUUAUGUACCCAAUGGUAAGGACAAUAUAUAACUAAUUUGAAACUUCUAUAAUUUUAUAUAUAUAGAUGCAAAUUCAUUUUUAAGAGUGCAUUUAAUCAAGCAGUCCAUGCGUUUAUACUGAGUAAUUGGUUCAAUAUUAAUACAAAACUAUUUUAAGUAACAUGUGGCAUAUUCUAAUUCCAGCGAGCUUCCAACUCAUAUUCCCAAUUUAAAAGAAAAGUUUUCAAUUUUCUCCAGAAUGUUCUACAAAACGUUUCUUCUAGUCUCUACACUGUGCUAGAAUUUUCUCUAAGUUUCUUUUGCAAAGACUUUUAAAGAACUAUCCAGAUACUGAGCUAUAAUCCAGUCUAAGCGUAUAUAUCUCUCUAUAUUUCACCUCCCUCCAUUUCACUAGAAGAUCAACAAACACUUAGCUUCGAAACAAACACUCUCAAAAAGCUAGCUUAGCUACCCAGAUGGCGAAAUCAAGAAUUCUUGCAAUGACAAUGUCGUUUCUUGUUAUGGCUGCAACAUUGAUUAUCAUGGCAUCACAAGCAAACACUAUGAUGUCGUACACACAAUCACCUUUCUUUGACGUGAUGUUUGCAAUGACAGAAGAUCCUUUCAGGGUUCUUGAACAAACCCCUCUAACAAUCCCAAAAAGAGCUGAUCAGCAUCAAACUCUAGCCCUGGCGAGAGCAGACUUGAUGGAGCACCAACAGCACACGUGAUCGCGCUCGACAUUCCAGGGAUGAAGAAAGAUGAAGUGAAGAUUGAAGUUGAAGAGAACAAGGUACUCAGAGUGAGUGGGGAGAGGAAGAGUGAUGAUUAUUAUAAGGAGGGAGUUGAAGGAGAGAAACGGCACAGAGCUGAGAGCACAUUUGGCAAGUUUUAGAGGCAGUUCAGGAUGCCUAUGAGUGCUGACUUGGAACAUGUUAAGGCUUAUUUGGAAAAUGGUGUUCUGAGGAUCACAGUGCCAAAGUUUGCUGAGGAGAAGAGGAGGCAGCCUAAGGUUAUUAGCAUUAAUGAAGAGCUCGCAGGUAAUUCUUUCGGUGAAGAUAUUAAGGCCACCAAGGCCCAAAUGUGAUUGAUUAAAGAAAAAAGUGCUUGCUUCGCUUGAUAUGCUAUUUAUCAAAAACUCCUUUUACCAUCCAUUUGAACAUACAUAAACACGCCCAAUUUGAAAGAAAAAAAAGUAGUAAUUAUAAAAUAUUUCAAUCGUCUACUGUUCAGCCACCAAAAACCAAUUUACCAUCCAUUUCAACGCCUAAUUUGAAAAAAGAAAAUACUAAUAAUAAAAUAUUCCAAUUGUCCAUCCUUUCACAAAUCAAAAAUAUCACCAAAAACCAAUUAACCAACUAUUUCAACAUAAGGUAUAUGGGUUAACAAGUCCCAAUAUUGUCCUCCAUCCUUUCUGCACUUCUCUCCUAUCAACGGACAUCCCUGGAUCCAUAAUUGCAAAAGUGAGUAAGGCAGGCCCUUCUUCGGAAAGUAUUUGAGCUUGCGACAAUGAUAGAGGUGCAAUUCAGUGAGGUUUUGAAGAUCAACAACCGAAGAAGAUAGGCGUUCCAGAUUUGGAAAUUUAGAAAUGCUCAGAGAUGUUAGAGAGGCAGGAAGAGGAAGCGCGGUCCCUAAUCUUUUGUCCUCUAGUGGAAAUGACACCAUGUCGUCAUCGCAUCCGCUGAUUGUAAGAUGUCGUAGAGAAGAGAAUCUGUGAAAUCCCCGGCCCCGCUCAAUCAUUGACUUCCAAAUCUCCAUAUUACCCUGAAUAUGAAGUGAAUGAAGGUUGGUGGGAAGGCCAUCUUCUUCAAGGCUUGGAAGCUCACCUCCUAUUGUUAAUUGUUGAAGAGAGGUCAGAUUGUACAAUCCCUUGGGUAAGGCCUCUAGUCUCUUACAAUCAAAUAUCGUCAGCCUCGUGAGUUUCGCACAAGGCAAUCCCCCUUCGGGAAAGGACACCAGAUUUCCACACCUCUUUAUCCAUAUCUCUUGAAGCUGGCGGAGAUUAUGUAAACCACUCGGUAAAAUUUUCAGAUUUUCACAACGAGAAAUGUCGAUUUCUUCAAGAGAUGUGUUGUUGUCCAAUCUUUCUGCUAUUGACUCCAGCUUUGAACAUCCAUAAACACGAAGGGACUUAAGAGACGGAGGUAGAUUGCCAACUUCAAGGGACUCAAGCGUGGCAGGUAACUCGUUUUUUGAAAAUAUACAUGUCAGUGAUGGACAAUGCCAAAUUU